rnacentral:lncRNA from 1 species
AAAGAGUCGUAAUUUGGGAUGCAAAUGUAAGAAUUAGACAGAUGACCAGUUGUUUUGAAGCGCUCGAAGAAGGAUUAAUUACGUCAUUGAAAGGCUCCAAUUUUGUGACUUUUUUUUUUAAUUUGUUGUUUUUUCUAUUUUUAGAUAGCUUGAUUGUCAGUUGUCGUGAUGUAAUGCUUUAGUGUAGAAAAAUGAUAUUCGGCCAAGACAACAUUAGCAGGGCACCUUGUGCAUGCAUACUAGUGGAUAAUUUCGGCAUGCUAAAUCCAAUUAGGGUGGAUGACCCUUUAUAAGCAUUAGGCUUCUCUCAUACCCGAAAACAAUGUAGAAUACGCUUAUAAGCUGCGGAUCACCCAUUAUAAGUUUUAGGCUUCUCCUUUACUCGAGCGAUGUGGAAUACCUUUAUAAGCAUUAAGCUUCUCCCAGUAUCUUUAUGUUAAAAAUAAUAAUAAUAAAAGAAAUCCAUUUUAAAAUAGACUCUUUUUUCUUUUUCUAUAUAAACAAAUGCAUUCUUCAAAUCAAUUGUGGGCAGAAGAAGUUAGUAGAAAAGAACUAGUCCCCUUUCAUUCCCCCUUAAAGCUCACCAAAGCCUCUUUUGUAAGCUUUUCGGAUUUUCUUUCUAUAUUGCUUAUGAUCUCAUUUUUGAUUGAAUCACUUCUUUUGCAUGCUGCAUAUUUUGUUUGUUGUAUUUGGAUAUUAUCGUAUCUGGAAUGCUGUUAUGAUUGAUGGAACAAGUAAUCGAUAUUUGGUCUGAUGGAAGUUGACUUAUUUAUUUAUUGUUAUUUUAAUUUGAAACUAUGUACAAUUGCAUUUCAUUCAUUUCUCUCUCUCCCCCCCCCCCCCCCCCACACACACACACAUAUAUUUGUUAUGUAUAAUUGCGUUUCAUUUGAUAUUGAUCAUGCUGUAGAUAACCAUGUGAUUGUAGAUGGGGAUUUCAAGUUUGUUGAAUAUUCAAGUAAGUGAAGUAACUGUCAAAAUACUAGUGAAAUUGGGAGCUUUAUUCAUGAGCUUGUGGUUUUGAAAAGUACCACAGUUCAACCGAUGAAGGUUCCUUUUUGGGGUUCUUCUUUUUCUAGGCUGCAAUUAGGAUAUGUACAUGUUAGACAAUCUUUUGCGGGUUUAGCAUAUCUUCUCUGAUUUUGUCUUUUAUUCCCCAAUCUUAUAAUUGCACACCAUGAAUGUUGAGUGAUUGUAUAGAAAAUUUGUGUUAUAACCAAAGCGUUGUGAAGGAGUUAAGUUAGUGGCUUCUGUUUUAUUGGCAUUGAUUGGGUAGAUUAUGUGUUACAGUGAUUCAAUUUGUGCUCCAAAGUUUGCUUUAAUUUCUUUUUUCCCUAAUUAUUUAUGUCAAAUUUAAAUCCAGAAGCAUGUACUGAUUUUUUCUUUUUGUAUUAAUCUGUGAAGGUUAUUUGGAAUGGAAGUAUCUGGGUUGGGUCUAACGGAUUAAAUUAUGACAUUGGGGGGAAGGCAGUAAAGGGUUUGCUCGACACAUUUGGUUCUGUGUUUACUUUGCAAGAAAUAGCUUUUGGUUAUCACAAUGCCGGUGGAAUCCCGAUUUGGCUCGUGAAUUUCUUUGUGACAAAUAGGCAAACACAUCAACCUCUUCUAUCCAUCCUUCUACUGGUAAGGCAAGGGGUAAAGAGUCUUCAAAAUCAUCAAAUAGUAACAUCUCUGAGAAUUCAUUUUAUGCAAAUGGAAAAUCUAGACCUUCUAAGACAAAAUGGCGUCCUGUAUCAGGAGGUACCGUUUCAAGUUUUCUUGGUAAAAAUUAUGUUAAACCUGCACAGCCAGCUAAUGGCACAUUUCUAGCAUCAAAGCCAUUGAAGUUGGAUCCAAAGGGGUUUCCCAUGUCUCCACUUUUGCGGAGAAGAUACUAAACUGAAACAAUCAAAGGAUGACCAUUUGCAGAAGGAUAUGGAAGAUUUUCUGUUUAAAUUGCUAGGAGAAGUGUUCCUAUUGUCCUUUUCAAUGUUCUUUCUUUCUUUCUCUUCUUUUCUUCUUCUUCUUCUUUUUUCUUUUUGUGUGCGUGUGAUCACUAAUUUGGUAUUGUAGUUUAGUUGCAGAUAGUUGUGGAUAUGAUAUGCAAAAGGUAAGGACUAUAUCUUCCUGAUGGAGGCCUCUGCUUUUUCCUUUAUGUGUAAUUUAAUAAAUUGCAUCUUCCUUUGUGAUUGUUAUAUCAUAUCAAAGACAAGUCUUAAAUACUGCUGUCAUAUGUUAAGGUUCAACUUGCAGUUUGAUUAACAUUCAUGGCUCAAAGGCCUGAAAAAACUUGCCAGUAAUUGUAAAAUGACAUUCUUUGCUUUUAAUGCAAUAGAGGGAACAGGGAAGUAUAGCUUUGGAAGCCUGGAUUGGUAACUAUAGAGAGACUUAGUAUUUAAUUGAUAAAAAUUCCCAUAACCCAAGGUCAAGAAAAUUUUAGAUCGUUAAAGACUUCAUUUUGUUUCGGCCAGAAAUGUUUGUUUCGAUCGAAGACUUGAACCAUUUCGAUUGAACCUGAUUAUGAUGCUUUACGUUAUGCAUGUUCCUCUUAAUCAAGAAAAGUUGAGGUGAUGAUUUUAUAUUUCUAUAUUGUAAGUUGAAAUAAUAAUUGGUCUGCUUGUUUCUGUAGCUUGAUAACAUGAAUUUUCCUUCUCAAGUUAAUUUAAUCAAUAAAGUAAUUCUUCAAAGAAAAUAUGCCCAUUCUAUAAUCAUUUUCUUAAUUAACAUGUUUUUUUCUUCACACUUCAGAGCAUGUUGAAACUAAUUGAUCGCUCGGCAGAGACUUUGGGUGAGAAGACAAAAUUUCUCGGUAAAUCCUCUGAAAAGGUAUGCAUAAUUCCGCAGUAUUAAAUAACCAAUGGUCAUAAUUUUUGUACAGGACUCUUUUCUUGUGGAGAUAAUUAAAAGUGGCUGAUGAUCCAGUUUGUAUAUCAUAGAGGGAGCAUCAAUUCCUUUUGUUUUCAGUGGCUAGGCAACACUUUCAGGGCAAAGUAAGGAAAUCUAUUUUAGGCAAGUAAAGCCAUGUAGAUGUAAUAGUUAACAUGCACUGACAAUAACUUUGUAUAAUGUCAGUGAACGAUACAAGAGGAAUCUGUUGACAAUCAUCCAAGAUAGAUGCUAAAAUUAUUAUGCAUGCCAGUUGCUUAAUAAUUUUCUUACACUGGUAUUGAAGAGGAAAAUGAAUAUGCAAUUUGUAUAUGUGCCAUGUGAGAAUUUGGAUAUCUAUCUAAGUAACAAGGAGAGUAUUGCCUCAUCUUUAGACAAUGAAUCUUGAGAAUUUGGAUAUUCAUGUAAAUGUUCAUUUGUUUGUAUUUUGAACUAUUAUGAGAAUCUUUUAUAUGCCAAAUUAGUAAUGCAAAUGUUCAGAUUAUUUUUUCUGUUGAUCGUGCAUUUGUGUCUGCACACAACCAUUGUAUAUCACUUCAUUCUGAUGCGCAAGUGUCUGUAGUUUAGAAGAAAAGAAAUAAUAAUGAUAUAUUAUUGCUUGAUUCAUGAUUAUUAAAUGAUUAUGGCUUUAAAAAACCUACAAAUUCCUUUUGUUGAUAUAUGAAUGUACCAAGUUUGCUAUAUCUUAGAUUACCAUUUCCAAGAUAACAAGUUCAAAUUUUUUCUUUAUCCUUUUCCUUCACAGUUGCAUUUUAAGUGUAAGAUUUGUUAUUAAUACCUGGUUUCCCGUCAUUAUGAUUUCAUAAACAGUGUAUGGGUAUGUGCUCUACUUUUGGAGGGCCUCCACGUGAAAGAAAAUUGUAACAAUUGAAUUCUUCCGGAUGGUAUGGUAUUUAAUUUAUUUUCUCAACCUCUUGUAAGACUAAUAUAUUUUCCUUUAGUAGACACGGCAUGGUGGGAAGGGUUUUUUAUUGAAAGAAUUCUGAUAUUUCUUAGACUUUGUUUUGGAAGGGGGUGCAGGGGUUUCUCAUCCAUAUAUGGUUACUUGAUUAGCUUUUGACUGUAUUGCCUCAAUCGUGCAAAGGAAGAUCCAAAUACAAACGAAAGAGAAUUGUUUAGACACCCAGAAGAUGGAAAUGAACUACAGAAGGAAGUUUUUGCUGCUUUAUUUAGUGCUCCUGAGAAAUCUGAUGAAUUUCCUGAAAUUACGGUGAAGACCAAGUGUGAGGUCCAAAGCAUUAGGAAAGGUGGUGAGUGAACUGCCGGAGCAAUUGGUACAGAAUACAAGGCUAAUGUGGUGGACUUGCAGCAAGAUAACCGGAACAGUACGUGCUCUUAUAUUAACUAUAUUGACUGGAUUUGCUAGUGUGUGCAUUUUCGUGUGUAUACUUUUGUAUUUAUGCAUAUUAAUGUGUGUAGGAUUCUUGAUUUCUGCCACUUAUUGGAGAACUAAUGGAAAGCUUUAUACUGGUAUAUCUGCAAUAACUAAUGGAAACUAUGAUAUUAAUAUUUUCUCUCGCUUGGAGAAUGCGUAACAGAUAUACUUUGUGGCUCUGGAAUACUAAAGAUUCUGCAAUAACUAAUGGAAACUAUGAUAUGAAUAUUUUCUCUCACCUGGAGAACUUUGUAACAGUUACACUUUGGGGCUUGGAAUGUCUAAAGAAUUUUGUCUGCUUCAGUUAGAUCAAAUAUCUUUUAGUUACAUACAUUAUAGAAAAGAUAAAGUUCUCUGAAUCUGAAAGACUUAAAAUUUUGCAUAUUUCUUGAUAGGGAAAUAUCUGUAGAUACUAGUUCAUGCAUUGUGGUAGCAUCAGUGUUAAAGAAAAACAGCAGUAAGUUAUUAUAUAGAAUUAGGUUCACUUGCUUUAAAUCCUGGUCUGGUCAACCAUAUGAACCUGUAAGUGGUUCUGUAGAAAUAUAUAUAUACGGGGAGAAAGUAGCUAAAUUUUCCUUUCAUUUAUGGGUUUGGUCAUUUUUUCCCCUUAUUUAUGUUUUCUCACACAUUUUUUAAAUGCCCCAGACAUGCAAUUUUGUAUGUGUCAAUUGCCUUUUAAGUUUUAAAAACCAUAAAGUAAGAAUACAGUUUCUUGUCAGGCUAUUGAUGCAUUUGCUCGGGGGGAUCAUGCUCGAGCAGGAAAACUUCUAGAACAGGUAAGGUUUCCAUCUACAGCCAUUUAUUGACAACAUAUAUAUUUUCAUUCAGCAAGCACUGUUAGCAUUCAAGAUGCUGGCAGAUUCACUUGAUUCUUAUUAGUUUGUUUAGUAGCAAAGCAUAUAACCUGUAUUUUAAAGCUAAGUUGUGCUAUUGAUUAUGUUAACUUUAUUGUUCACAUAAAGUGAUAUUGAGGAAAUAAUCAAUGUAGGAAAAUUAGGUGAAGAGAUGAUGUCAAAUCUUGAACCUCUUACAAAACUCCAAGUUCUUUACUUGAAGAAGCUACCAAAUUCGAACAGCAUCUACUGGAAGGCCUUGCCAUUCCCUGAUGUAUGCAGAAUUUUUGUAUUUAAAUGCCCAGAGCUUAAGAAGCUGCCACUGGAUCUUGAGAGGGCAGGCCAAGGUAAAAUUCUUAUCAAGGGAAAGAAAGAUGGGUGGAAACAACUUCAAUGGGAGGAUCAAGUAACUCAGAAUGCAUUGCUUUCAUUUUAAAAAUCAACCAACAAGUGAUUGAAGGGGGCAUCAUCAACGUAAUCAACAUGGAUGGAGAGAUUCUGGAGCAGAUCAGCGGGGUUUAGUACGACCUGUGGUGGUUUCUUUUUUGUGACUUUUUUGCCUUUCAUUUUUUCACUUCCUGUCAUAUUAUCAUUUCUUUGUCUGUGUUUCUAUUGCUAGUGUUGCUGCAUGCUUGCUGUCCUUGACAAAGUUAGCUAGUUUUUUUUGUUUAUUAAAUUUUGUAUGUUCGGUCGGGACAGUCACAAAGUACUACUUGUUCUAUAUGGGGGUGAUGUGAAUCAACUUUUCAAUUAUAUAUUCUGUGGUAAUUGUGAAUUCAAUUUCAUUUAUCUCCUGCAAAUUAUGAAGAAAGUGCAGAGUUACAAUAUGGAAAAGUUCACUGGCAAAUACUUUGUAAAAGCUUCGGAGUGAAACAGGAAAUGCACUUGCAACUAAGGACAAAUUGGUGGCCGGCUAAUGCAUUCAUUUUAGGGAAAAGGACACAGACCCUCAACGUUUUAAUAAGGGACAUAAAACUCCCUAAUAUUUUAAAAAAAAUACUCAAACCCCCAUUUGUUAAUAGUAAAUUCUAAGUUUAAAGUGUAAUUACCAUUAUACCUUUAUAGCAUAUUAAAAAAUAAUUAUUCAUUAUUCAAUUUAUUCUUAUAUUAUUAAUAAAAUUACGAAUAUAAUUUCAUUAUCUAAUUUUUUCAUUUAAUUUUUGUUAAAUUUUCUCUUCAAACUAAAUAAAUUUAAUCCAUUGCUUAAGAAUAAAAAUAAAUUAAAUUGAUUACUAAUAUAAUAAAAAUAACAUAUAUUUAAUAUAAAAAUAACAUAUAUUAAAUUAAAAUAAAUUUAAUUUAUAUAUAGAGAAUUGUUAUUUUUAAGAAAUUAUCAAUUUAAUUUAUAUAUAAGAAAUUAUAAGAAAUAACAUAUGGAGAAUUGUUAUUUUUAUUAUAUUAAUAAUCAAUUUAAUUUAUUUUUAUUUUUGAGCAAUGGAUUAAAUUUAUUUAGUUUGAAGAGAAAAUUUGAUAAAAAUUAAAUGGAAAAAUUGGGUAAUGAAGUUAUAUUCAUAAUUUUAUUAAUAAUAUAGGAAUAAAUUAGAUAAUGAACAAUUAUUUUUUAAUAUGCUAUAAGGGUAUAAUGGUAAUUGUACUUUAAAAUUAGAAUUUACUGUUAACAAAUAGGGGUCUGAGUGUCUUUUUUGAAACAUUAGGAAAUUUUGUGUCUCUUAUUCAAACGUUGGGGGUUUCUGUGUUAUUUUCCCUUCAUUUUAUGUACAUUCAUCUUUUUAAUUAUUGAAGAUAAGUGGUUCGUUGCUUUUGUUGUAGAUAAAAUUCAGACGACCUCAAUUGUGACAUGACAAUAUUUAAAACAUCUCUUAAAUUAUUAUAAAUUUAAUUUAUCUUAACUUUAUUGAAAAGAUAAAAGAAAAAUGUGGUGUAUGGAUAAAUUUUUUUUUAUCUUCUUAAUCAAAUGGAAUAAAUUAAAAUUUACAAUAAUUUAAAAUAUUUUAAAAAUUAUUAUUUCAUAAGAGAUUAAUAUGAAAUUAAUCGUUUUUACUUUUUUAAUGUGAAAGGACAAGAAAAGAGAAAGCAUGUGUCCCUGCUUUUUAGUUUUUAUUUUAUUUGAAAUCGGAGUUAUCCCAUAUACUUUACUAAUUUAGCUCUAACAUUACAAUGUUUUUAGGCUACACUUUUAUUUUUCUUUUUCCCCCUUUUUUUAUACAUGCAUGUGGAUUACUUUUCUCUAAGCUCCUUAAUAUUUAAGACAAAUCAUAAAAGCAAUUGAAGUAUAACAAGAUGAUCAAAACAUUUAACCAAAAAAAAAGAAAGAAAAAAGAAAGAAAACAUUGAAAAUGGAGAUGUUGAUUAAUUUAGAAGAGAUGCAAGCAAAAGAUAUUCCCAAAAAAAAGAAAAAAAGAAAAAAACAACGUUAGUUCAUCCAUGUCUGUCAAUGCGUUUUUUAUGGUUUUUUUUUUCCAGUUGUUUGUUGUAAUAGAUUGAUUGUAAAUUGAUAUGAAUUUGAUGUUGUAAUAUGUUCGCUUUUGUGGAAUUAAAUUUGAAUAUUCAAGAUUAUUCAAGUCUUAUCUAGUAUGUGUUCAAUUGUGUUGUCGAUAAUUUUGCAUUCGAAUAAUUUUUCACCUAAAAUAUUAGCAUGAGUAGUAGUCCUUGAAAUUUUGGUCAAAAUUAUUGUUAUUGUUUGUUUUAGAGGAAAUUUUUUUAUUAAAGCCUCGUUAACACUAUACCUUAUUAAGAUUAUAAGUUAGUGUCAGUGCAGGAUUUACAGCAACAAAUCUUGUCUAGCCACGUGUCAAAAGUACAAAUAAAUCAAGAGUAAGCACAUGACAUGGAUUAGGAUCCAAUAAGAUUUAAAUCCCAAGGAAAAGGACAAUUGUAUCCUAAAGUUUCAAUAAGAGAUACUGAGAUAUCUUUUGACUAAUGUUAUUUUUUUAGCUUUAUUAAUAAAAAGAUCAAAUAGUUUAUAACAAAUAAAAAUAUAGUAUGAAGCUAAAUGUGAUAAUAUAUACAUUUUACAUAAUUUCAAUAAAAAAAAUUUCAAUAAAAAACAUUUUAAUGUUUUACGAUCUAUUAGACAUAUUUUAUUAAAUUAAUAGGAAUUUUCUGAUAAAUAGCAACAUAAUAUUAAAAUAAAUUUAUAAAGAUUUAAAUGUAAAAUAAUUUUAGUAUAAUUAAUACGUGGGAUAUAUUUUGUAAAUUAUAAAAUUACUUAACCCAAUGAUUUUUAAAAAUCUUUAAAAUAAAUAAAAAUAAAUUAUUCACAUUUUGAUGUAAAUAUUUAAAACAUUUUUAUACAUUAGUCCACAAUUAUUUAUGUUAUAUUUGUAUUUAUUAGAAAUUUUGAAAGUCAAAUGUUUUUCACCUCUAUCUUAUUAGAAUUAUUGCACACAGAGAAAGAGCCAUAUAUGCUUUAUAGCUUUAAAAUCGAUUUGUUUUAUAGCUGGGAACAGAGAUGAUCAUUAUUAUAAGGAUUAAAAAAAAGAUAAAGAAUAUUAAUGAUUAGCGAAAUCUCUAUGGAAAUUGAAUUUAGUAAGAAAAAAUUGAGCUGAUUUUAGCGGUAUAGUAAUAUUUUAUAUAGAGAAAAGUAAAAGCUGCACCCAAGGUUAAGGGAAAUGGUCAAAACUCUUUUUUAAUCAUAAUACUCUUUUUCCUACAUAAUUUAAAAAUUUGACAUUAAUAUUUUAUAAUAAAUAAAAACAUAUAAUCCUAAAAUAAAUAAAAUAAUAUAUAUUUUAAAAUAAUCUCAAUAUUUAAAAUAUAUUUUAACAUUUUAUAGUCUAUCAGAUAUAUUUUAUUUUUUUUAAAGUAAAUUUUAUAAUAAAUACAAAACAUACUAUUAAAAUAGAUAUAAAAAUUUUAAAGUAUUUUGAAUAUUAUAUAAAAUAACUUUAAUAUUGUUAAUGCGUGAGAUGCAUUUUAUUAAUUAAAAAUUCUAUUUAACCCAAAGAUUUAUUUAUAAUAAAUUAAUAAUCAUAUUUUUGAAAUUAUUUUAAAUAUUAAAAAAUAUUUUAAUAUUACUAACUAUUAGAUAGACUAAACUAUUUAUAUUAUUUUCUAUUUAUUAUAAAAUUUCAAAGUUAAUCUUUUUAACUACUAUUCAAAAGAUAUUAUGAUAAAAACAGAAUUUUUCUGUUUUAUUAAAAAUUUAGAGUUUACACCUAUUUUUUCAAAUAUUCGGGGUGUAACUGUUUUAUUUAAAUAAAAUCUCAGUUAAAAAUGUACAGAGAAGAAAUUUCUGUUGGUAUUUUAGUCUUUUACCAAUUAUCACGAUUAGGCCUUGGCCUUGAAACAUUAAUUGUUUCACUUUUAGCGCUAGUGGCGUUGAAAGUUGUCAAGAAAAAGCAAGACCAUAUUCCACAAAAGCAGCUCUUUUAUUAAAGGCAAAGUAUAAAGUAGUCAAGAAUCGAAUAUCCUGUCGUCUACUCUUUUUUAAAUUCUUCUUUUAUUAUCUUUUAGAAUAGUUUUUGGUAAUUACAAUCAUUAUUCAGAGUUAUUGUUAUCUUCUGGGGCAGUCUCUGUUCAUCGAAGUCGUUACCUUUUUUUCAUGGAUCAGUUCCAGUGCCAAGCAGUAAUUUUCUUAGAACUCGGAUCUUUAAUUCGAGUUUCUUUGUGAAUUAAUAAUAAAAAAUUUUCAUUACACGCAAUUUAAGCUACGAAUUACUUUUUGCAAAGUUGAAUAUGAAAUUGGAGAAAUUAAAUAAUUUAGAAUGUUGGUAAAAAUUGACUAACAUAUCCCCAAUUACAGUAAAACCUCUCUACAGUCAUAACAUUAUAACAAAAUUAAUUUUAUUACUAUGUUGAGGUAAUAUAGGUUUAGUUACAAAAUUAUUGUUUUAAUAUGGUUAGUGUCAAGUGAUAUAAAGGUUAAGUAUGCAGUACAUUGAUAAUUAAAUAAUGAAGCGUGUCAAAUCUAACGUAUAUAUAUUAAUGAUAUAGAUAGACAUAGUUUUAAAAAACUAAUUAAUGUAUAUUUAUGUACUGUUAUGAAUAUGGAAAGUCAAGCCUACACUUUACAUUAUCCUUAAUUUUUUCUCUCAGUUAAAUUCUACAAAUAUUGUACAAUGAUUGGGUAAGAACUCUAAAUUAAGAAUAAAUUAUUGUCACAAAUAAUUUUAAAAAAUAUUUUAUUUCAUCUUAAACCUUUAAUGUAAGUAAAUAUAUAUAUAUGUGUGUGUGUGUGUGCAUAUUUUGCAAGGUAUAGAUAAUUGUUAGUAUAUGGAGACAAGUCUUUUAAGGUAGGACCUAGGAAAAUUUAUAACUUACUACAUUGGGGAGUUUUUAUUCCUUUUUAUAAUUGGCUCAUAUUGAUACAUUCUUACACAAAAUAUUACCAUUGACAUAUUUUACUACAAUUGGUUUAGAACAUUUGUUAGGAAAAAAAAAAGAAAAGAAAACAUUCAUUGGAUGUAGCUCUCCCUCGUAUGCUUUUUUCUCCAAAUAUUCCUGCGUCCACAGAAACAAGUCAGAGCACGCCGGUUGUUUUCCCGGCGUAAACCCUCUGACGCUCAAGUCAGAUAUGAAGGCUCUGGGAAUGCUUGCCACAGAUCUUAUGGUUUUUCUGUAGUUUCUAUUCUUUAGAGUUUCAUUUAUCUCUGAAUAUAAUCUCAAAAAUGCUAACCCUUUUACCUUCCUUGGCUACCUUUUUAUAGGCUUCCUCUGAAUCCCGGUCUUCCGUAGUCCACGCCCGUUAUUCUCCCCACCCUCGGAUGUGGAUGCCCCAUUAUCGCCAUUGUGGGCGAAUGGAGAUGGACUUCGUGCCUUGAUUCUCGGAUAGGAAUGCACGUCUUGCCAACUGUCGUUGACUGGGUCUCCUCGCCUCUCGACCUCUAGCCGGAAUGGCCUUAUGCCUCUAACAAGAGUUCGACCUCGUGAAUGGCAUACUCGCGGACGAGCCGAAUAUUUCUGCUCAUGUUCCCCUGCUACCUGGCUCUUACAGGACAUACCUGUUCGCAGAACUCCGCCAUCAAAUAUCUGCUCAUCACGUCUGGUCUCGUUGAAGUAUUUCCCUCAAACAACAUAUUUUACUACAAUUAGUUUAGAACAUUUGUUAGGAAAAAAAAAGAAAAGAAAACAUUCCUUGGAUGUAGCUCUCCUGACUAUUUAAAUCUUUUAAGGAAAAAAAGAAAAAAGAAAAACUGACACAUUCAAAUCUUGAAGCAAUUACAUUAAAACCUCUCCAUAAUGAUAGGAAUAAUCUCCAUUUAGUAAUAAAAAAUUUUGUUCGCAAUCUAGGCAGAGUUAUAAAUAAGAAUAAAAUCCUCAUUGUAAUAAGUUGUAUUUAUUAUGGAUCCCAUCCUAAGGAACUUGUCUCUAUAUAGUAAUAAUUAUUUGCAUAUUAUAAAUAUAUAUGUUGCAUUAGAUUAAAUGAACUUGUCUCCACAUACUACUUAGACAAUGAGAGAAAGUUAUUAAAGAGAACACAAAUAUUUAGAGAUUUUUAAGAUUACUUUGCAUGUUUAUAACAAUAAUACAUUGAUAUAUGUAUUAGUUUUUUGAUAUAUUAGAUUUGACAUGCUCUAUUAAUAAAUUAUUAAUACGAUGCAAACUUCAUCUCUCUAUCCUUGCAAUAAAAGUAACUAAGUUAUAACAAUAAUUAUUAAUAAAUUAUUAAUACGAUGCGUACUUCAUCUCUAUAUCCUUGCAAUAAAAGUAACUAAGUUAUAACGAUAAUUUUUGUAACUACAUGCUUAUUAGGUUUUAACUACUUCAUAAUAAUAAAUUAAUUUCGUCCUAAUAUUAUAAUUAUGUAGAGUUGUAGUGUAUAGACACACCCAAUUUAAAUAGUAAAUCAAAUAAAAUUGUCCCCACAAAAAAGAAAAAAGGGGUAAAGGAUUGUUAUUUCUUCAAACAUUAGGAGCACGUUUGUUCAAGUGCGAUGCCUUUCUUUUGAAGGCAACGUCAGUGGGUACCCAAUAGGACGUGUGUAAAUCUUUCCAAAAUUUCUCCGGUAUAACGGACAGAGAUCAUUACUUUUCUCUUCCAUAGACCACAGCAGCUUCAGUUAAUCAGACUCAAUCAAUUUUCUUGGUUUCUUCGCUUAUCAAAAUUCCAAAAUAUGGGUAGCAUAUUUCAAAUCACAUGCGAUGGUGCUUUUUUCAAUCGUUGCUUGGAUUGCUUUCUUGGAAAAGUAGCAAACACAAGUAAGCUCCAAGAUAACCUUGUUGCCUUGGAGACUGAAUUGGGAAAACUAAUCGUAGCAAAGAACGAUGUGAUGAUGAGGAUUGUCAAUGCUGAACGGCAACAACUGAGAACGCUGGACCAAGUGCAAGUGUGGCUUUCGAGGGUGGAAGCUGUUAAAACUGAAGCUGAUGAAUUGAUAAGACACGGCUCUCAAGAAAUUGACAAAUUAUGUGUUGGAGGCUACUGUUCCAAGCACUGCGCGUCAAGCUACAAGUUCGGGAAACAAGUGGCUAAAAAGCUACGGGAUGUGCAGACUUUAAUCGGCGAAGGAGUUUUUGCGGCGGUGGCUACUGAGGUGGUGCCUGAGAGAGCUCCAGAACCUGUAGCAGAUGAAAGACCCACUGUGCCAACAAUAGUAGGCUUGCAAUCACAACUUGAACAAGUUUGGAGAUGUCUUGUAGAAGAAUCAGUGGGAAUCAUUGGCCUAUAUGGUAUGGGCGGUGUUGGUAAAACUACACUAUUGACCCAUAUCAACAAUAAAUUUCUUGAGAGUCGAACCAGUUUUGAUUGUGUGAUUUGGGCCGUAGUUUCAAAGGACUUGCAACUCGAAAAAAUUCAAGAAGAUAUUGGGAAAAAGAUCGGUUUGGUUGAUGAUUCAUGGAAGAGUAAAAGUGUAGAGGAGAAAGCUCUCGACAUCUUCCGGAGUUUAAGAGAGAAGAGAAUUGUAUUGUUGUUAGAUGAUAUAUGGGAGCGGGUUGAUUUAACAAAAGUGGGCAUUCCACUUUCGGGACCAAAGAAUACUACCUCAAAAGUCGUAUUCACAACCCGUUUCAUCGAUGUUUGUGGUAGCAUGGAAGCUGACAAGAAGUUCCAAGUGGCAUGCUUAUCAGAAGAGCAUGCUUGGGAACUGUUUCGAAAAAAAGUUGGGGAAGAAACUCUUGAGAGUGAUCAUGAUAUCGUUGAGCUAGCCCAAACUGUGGCCAAAGAGUGUGGUGGUUUGCCACUCGCACUUAUUACUAUUGGUCGAGCUAUGGCCUGCAAAAGGACAGCCGAGGAGUGGAGACACGCAGUUGAAGUGCUAAGAAGAUCAGCUUCUGAGUUUGCAGGUUUGGGAAAAGAGGUGUAUCCUCUUUUAAAGUUUAGCUAUGAUAGUUUGCAGAAUGAGACGAUUAAAUCUUGUUUCUUAUAUUGUUGUUUAUAUCCCGAGGAUUAUGGCAUUCUUAAAUGGGACUUGAUUGAUUGUUGGAUUGGUGAGGGAUUCUUAGAGGAAUCUGACAGGUUUGGUGCAGAAAACCAAGGAUACUACAUUGUGGGCACUCUUGUUCAUGCGUGUUUACUAGAAGAGAUAGAAGAUGAUAAAGUAAAAAUGCAUGACGUUGUUCGUGAUAUGGCUUUAUGGAUAGCUUGUGAAAUUGAGAAGGAGAAGAGAAACUUUUUGGUUUGUGCAGGUGCUGGAGUAGGAGCGGUACCAGAUGUUGAAGGAUGGGAAAAUGUGAGAAGAUUGUCAUUGAUGCAAAACCAAAUUGAAAUUCUGUCAGAGGUUCCCACAUGCCCUCAUCUCCUCACUUUAUUUCUUGACUUUAAUUAUAAAUUGGAGAUGAUCACUGAUGGCUUCUUCCAAUGUAUGCCUUCUCUCAAAGUUUUGAAGAUGUCAAACUGUGGGCAUGUCAAAGUUUUGAAAUUACCUUUUGGGAUGUCAAAGUUGGGUUCACUACAACUUCUUGAUAUUUCACAUACCGGCAUAAGAGAGUUACCAGAAGAGUUAAAGUUGUUGGUAAAUCUGAAAUGUUUGAAUUUGAGGUGGACACAUAUGUUAAAUAAAAUUCCACGGCAGCUAAUAUCAAAUUCUUCAUGGUUACGUGUGUUGAGAAUGUUCGCUAUUGGCUUUGAAAAUUCUAAAGAACCAUCAGAAGACAGCGUUUUAAUUGGUGGGGGUGAAGUUUUAGUACAGGAAUUGCUCGGUUUGAAAUAUUUAGAGGUAUUGGAGUUGACCUUGCGAAGUUAUCAUGCUCUCCAUUCUUUUUUGAGCUCAAAUAAGUUAAAAAGUUGUAUUCGAUCUCUUUUCCUCAAUAAGCUGGGAGAUACAAAGUCGAUUGAUGCUACGGCUUUGGCAGAUCUAAAGCAUCUCAAUGAAUUAUAUAUUCUUUUUUUUNNNNNNNNNNNNNNNNNNNNNNNNNNNNNNNNNNNNNNNNNNNNNNNNNNNNNNNNNNNNNNNNNNNNNNNNNNNNNNNNNNNNNNNNNNNNNNNNNNNNNNNNNNNNNNNNNNNNNNNNNNNNNNNNNNNNNNNNNNNNNNNNNNNUCUUUCGCUAUACGGUUGUAAUGCUGUGGAAGAAAUAAUCAGCGUUGGGAAAUUUGCUGAGGUUCCUGAGAUGAUGGGACAUAUAAGCCCUUUUCAGAAUCUCCAAAAGCUUGAUUUAUCACAUUUGCCAGCUUUGAAGAGCAUCUACUGGAAGCCAUUGCCUUUCGCUCAUCUGAAAGAAAUGGUGGUGCAUUGGUGUGAUCGGCUUAAAAAGCUUCCGCUCGAUUCCAACAGUGCAAAAGAGCGUAAAUUUGUUAUUCGUGGAAGAGCAGACUGGUGGAACCGUCUUCAAUGGGAGGAUGAAGCCACUCAAAUUGCUUUCCAUUCCUGUUUCCACCUAAUGAAAUAUAAAUUCCUUAGCGGUGGUUGCAAAAUUUGAUUUCUAGUGAGUGCUUUUUUCUUAAACUCUUACAUUUAUUUCAGAUUCGUUUUUUGUCUCCUGCAAAUCACAAUUAAAUGCUGAAUUAUAUGGAGUCAAUGCUUUAGAAAAUUUUCAAGGCACUGCCAUUUCCUUUUUUCCAUUUUUUUUUGGGUCGAAUUGAUGCUCUGGCUUUUUACUUUUUGUUGUCAAAUUUUGCUCUGUUUUUUCAAGUUGAUGCUUGAAUAGUUGAAUUCAAUUAAUGCUCACAUAAAUUUGUUUAGUUGCCGUAAAAGGAUAUAAUUAGACUGAAGUACACACUUCUAGAAUGAAUACAAAAUGUUAAGUAUACUAGCCCUCUUUACAGAAAAUCAAAUGAAAAUCAAUUUUUUGGGGCUUUGAUUUUCUAUGGUCUAUUAUAUACUCUUUUUAAUAUCUUCUGUUCUAACUAUAACCAAAUCCUUUGUUCAAGGAUUUUUAUUUGGGGUAUUGAUAACUAUCCACCAAAAGAGUGAACACUUGGAUGCUGCUCAAGGAUCUCUAAUCAAUAGCUGGAAGCAACUGAGAAGGCGGUCGCUGCUGUUUACAAAGUGAUGCAGUAUUUGCCAUUCAUCUUAAUAAUUAUGAAGCUUUGGUAAAAUUUUCAAACAAAAUUGAACAUGUUGUUUGAGAUUUGGUUCAUGAUUUUGGAUGAAUAUCGUUGUUCCGUUUGAGUUGGAUGUGAAUUCAAAAUCUAUAUAUUCUUUGGUUUUCAAGUCUGAACUCAAUUUCUUUUUCUCAAGCAUGUUAUGCAGAAAUGAUUUUUACUAAAUCAUUUUUGAUGAAUUGUUUAAAUUAAACACUUGGAAUAAGAAUUGUAAACGUUUAUCAUAAGCAUGCUAAUAUGAUAAAUUGUUUUAUGAACGACUAAUUAAUUAAUCAAUUAAUAUUAAAUUAUAUAUUAAUCAAUUAGAUAUGCGUUACAUGUCAUGUUUAAAAACUAUUUAUUUAUAUUUCAAACAAAUUUGACUGGAUGUUGUGUAGGUAAUACUACAUAAUUUCAAAACAAAAAAAAGUAAUAAAAACACGUUAAAUUUUGUUUUUAUGAAGAAAAAUUUAAAAUUUUAUUAAAUAGGUGAAAAUAAUAAAUGGAUUCGUGUAUGGUUUGAGAUUCUUGACAUAAUUAUGAAAUAAGCCGGAUUCGACUUAGUUCAAUUUUGACGCGAUAAGAAGACGACACCACACAAACACACGACAAGAACCGUUACCUGAGAAGAUUGCCAUCAGGAAUUUUGAAAUUGAUUUCACUACAAUAUCUUAAUCUUUCAGAUACUCCCAUCACUGAGCUGCCAUAAGAGCUAAAAGCCUUGGUAAAUCUUAAGUGUUUGAACUGUACACAAAUUAUCUCUCUACAAUUCAAAAACAACUGAUUUGUUACUUUUCAAUGCUACAUGUUCUGCGAAUAUUGAGUUGUGGUUAUCUUGUUGAAAUAUCAGAAAAUAGAGUUCUAUUUGGUGGUAGUGAAUUGUUGGUUGGGGAGUUACCUAGUUUAAAACGUUUAAAUGUAUUAAGCAUCACCUUACAAGGUUUUUCUGCUGUCCAAAAACUUAUGAGCUCUCAAAAGUUUCAAAGCUGUACAAAAUGUUUGGAGCUUAUAGACUGUGAUGAUUCAAAGUCUUUUGCCUUGGCAGAGUUGAAGCAUCUCGAGAAACUAGUUUUUCGAAUUGUGGAAGAGUUUAAGUUCUGCUGUGUUGAAGUUGGAAAAGCUCAAGAAUGUUUUCGUUUGAACAGCUUUCCCCGAGGUAAUAUAAAGGCUUGUCAUAAAUUGAGGGACGUGACAUGGCUUGUAUUUGCUCCAAAUCUUACGGUUAUUCAAUAGAAAAAUAUAUGCAGAUGGAAGUAAUAAUCAGUGCAAGGAAAUUGGGUGAAGUUCCAGGGAUGAUGGCAGAUCUAAACCCUUUUGCAAAACUCCAGUAUCUUCGUCUGCGAGUUCUACCAAAAUUAAAAAGCGUCUAUUGGAAUGAGUCACCCUUUCCACAUGUCAGGGAAAUUAUUGUAUCUGAAUGCCCAAUUCUCAAGAAGCUUUCACUCGGUUUUAACAAUGCAAAGGAAUCUAAAAUUGUCAUUUAUUACAUGUUUAUAUCUAACUUUUGUUUUCCUUUAUGGUUAAAUUUUACUUUAUAUAUGUUGUUAUACGGUGACAUUCUCGCAUCAAUUGUUAGCUUUUUAAUUCUCUUCUCCCAUUAAUUGCCCUUCUGAUCAUGUAAGAUAUGCCGAUGUCAAAGAGUAGUAAGUUGGGAUACAAAUGUAAGAAUUAACCAGAUGACAUGUUGUUUUGAAGCUCUCGGAGAAGGACUAAUUAUGUCAUUCAAAGCAUCCAAUUUCGCUACUUUUUUUUUCAUUUGUUGCUUUUUCUAUUUUUAGAGAGCUUGAUUGUCAGUUGUCGUAAUGUAAUGUUUUAGUGUAGAAAAAUGAUAUUCGGCCAAGACAUCAAUAGGAGGGCACAUUGUGCAUGCACACUAGUGGAUGAUUUCGGCAUGCCGAAUCCAAUUAGUGUGGAUAACCCUUUAUAAGCAAUUGGCUUCUCUCAUACCAGAGCAAUGUAGAAUAUAUUUAUAAACUGUGGAUUACUCUUUAUUAGGCUUCUUCUAUACUCGAGCAAUGUGGAAUACCUUUAUAAGCAAUAAGCUUCUCCCCUACACUUUAUGUUAAUAAUAAUAAUAAUAAAAUAAAUCCAUUUUAAAAUAGACUUUUUUUUUCUUUUUCUAUAUAAACAAAAUGCAUUCUUCAAAUCAAUAGUGGGUGGAAGAAGUGAGUAGAGAAGAACUAGUCCCCUUUCAUUCCCCUAAAACCUCACCGAAACCUCUCUUGUGAACUUCUCAGAUUCUCUCUCAAUAUUUCUUAUGAUCUCGUUUUUGAUAGAAUCACUUCUUUUGCAUGUUGCAUUUGGUGUGUCUUUUUUGGGUAAUAUCUUAUCUGGAAUGCUGUCAUGAUCAAUAGAACAAGUAAUCAAUUUUUGGCUUGACGGAAGUCGAUUUAUUUAUUUACUAUUAUUUUUAUUUGAAAUUUUGUACAAUUGUGUUUCAUUCAUUUCUUUCCUUUUUUUUUAAUAUUUAUUAUGUAUAAUUGUGUUUCAUUUGAUAUUGAUCAUACUCUAGAUAACUAUGUGAUUGUAGCUGGGGAUUUUAAGUUUUGUGAAUUCAAGAAACUGUCAAAAUGCUAGUGAAAUUGGGACCUUUAUUCAUAAGCUUGUGGUUUUGAAAAGUAGCCCGGUUCAACUGAUGAAGUUCCUUUUUGGGAUUCUUUUUUUUCCUAGGCUGCAAUUCGGAUAUGUACCUGAUAGACAAUCUUUUGUGGGUUUAGCAUAUCUUCUCGGAUUUUGUCUUUUAUUCCUCGAUUUUAUAAUUACACACCAUGAAUGUUGAGUGAUUGUAUAGAAAAUUUGUGUUAUAACCAAAGCAUUGUGAAGGAGUUAAGUUAGUGGCUUCUGUUUUAUUGGCAUUGAUUGGGUAGAUUACGUGUUACAGUGAUUCAAUUUGUGAUCCAAACUUUGUUUAAAUUUCUGUUUUCCCAAAUUAUUUAUGUCAAAUUCAAAACCAGAAGCAUGUGCUGAUUUUUUCUUUUUGUAUUAAUCUGUGAAGUUUAUUUGGAAAGGAAGUAUCUGGGUCUAAUGGAUUAAAUUAUGUAAGUGGCAGAAAUUCCUACACACAUAAAUAUGCAUAAAUACAAAAGUAUACACAAAAAAAUGCACACACUCAUACAUCCAGUCAAUAUAGUUAAUGUAAGAGCACAUACCGGUUUGGUUAUCUUGCUGCAAGUGCACCGCAUUAGCCUUGCAUUCUGGUGCCAACUCCUCCGGCGGUUCACUCACUACCUUUCCCAAUGCUUUGGACCUCCAUUCGGUCUCCAUCAGAUUUCUCAGGAGCACUAAAUAAAGCAGCUAAAACUUGCUUCUGUAGUUCAUUUCUGUCUUUCGGGUGUCUAGGCAAUUUUCCUUCGUCGGUAUUUCGAUCUUCCUUUACAUGACUGAGGAAAUACAGUCAAAAGCUAAUCAAGUAACCAUAUAUGGAUGAGAAAUCCCUCCACCCCCCUUCCAAAACAAAUUCUAAGAAAUAUCAGAAUUCUUUCAAUAAAAACCCUUCCCCCCAUGCUGUGCCUGCUGAAUGAAAUAUAUUAAUCUUACGAGAAGUUGAGAAAAUAAAUUAAAGAACAUACCCUCCGGAAGAAUUCAAUUGUUGCAAUUUUCUUUCACGUGGAGGUCCUCCAAAGUUAGAGCACAUAUCCGUACACUGUUUAUGAAAUCAUAAUAACAGGGGACCAGAUAUUAAUAACAAAUCUUGACACCUAAAAGUCAACUGUGAUGAAAAACAUUAAAAAGAAUAUGAACUUGUUAUCUUGGAAGAAGAUAAUUUAAGAUAUAGCAAACUUGGCACAUUCAUAUAUGAACAGAAGGAAUUUGUAGACGUUUUAAAGCCAUAAUCGUUUAAUAAUCAUGAACCAAGCAAUAAUAGAUGAUUAUUAUGUUGGGUGCAAGCGGAAGUGCAGAAAAAUUUUUAUUUAAGAUCAGAGUAUUUUGCUGGAAAUUUCUGAAACUUUAUUGCUUAAUUCAUUUUUUCGUUUCUCUCUUACUUUUCAUACAACCAGAGUUCUAUAUUUAUAUGCAUUAUAGACAACUCUAGAGAUUACAUUAAUCAUGCUUUACAUUUCCAAAGCCACAUUGCAAACAUCAAUUCUACCCUUUACUUCACGUUGAAAAACAAACCAAAUAAUCCUUCAAACUUCUUGCUCAAUUUACUAGAUUACUAAUUAUAUCUCAACACCCCCUCUUAAUUAGUAAUCUUCAAUUGCUUCUUGAAUUUUUCAAACUUCUCAAUAAUGAUUGCUUUGGUCAGAAAAUCUGCUGGCUGCUCAUUAGUGCUGAUAAACUCCAUAUUAACUUCUCCUUUGCUUACUAAGUCACGGAUGUAGUGAUAACGCAGCUCAAUGUGCUUAGAUUUAGCAUGAAAUACGAGGUUCUUUGUUAGAGCAAUGGCUGACAUGUUGUCACAAUAAAUUGUUGUUGCAGCAUCUUGAUUGAACUGCAAAUCCUUGAGAAUUCUUCUAAGCCAAACGGCUUCACAAGCUGAUUCAGUUGCUGCAAUGUACUCUGCCUCGGCUGAGGAUAAAGCUACUGACUUCUGCUUCCUUGAGCUCCAUGAAAUCACAUUUGUACCAAGACAAAAUAAAUAACCUGAUGUGCUUUUUCUGUCAUCAAGGGAACCAGCCCAGUCACUGUCAGUAAAACCAACAAGCUUGCAAUUGUCUUCUUUUUCAUACAUGAUCCCCUGCUUUUUUGUUCCUUGAAGAUACCUUAAGAUUCUCUUUGCUGCAAUAUAAUGGGACUUCCUUGGAUCAUUCAUAAAUCUAGAAAGAACACUAACUGAGUGCAAAAUGUCAGGUCUUGAGUUGGUUAGAUAAAUCAACGAACCAACCAAGCUUCUAUAGAUUCUUGCGUCAGCCUUUUCUUCUUUUUCAUCAUGUUUCAAUUUUUCAUUCAAACCCAUAGGAGUAGGUGCUGGUUUGCAUUUGAACAUGUGGAAUUUCUUCAACAAAUCUUCUACGUAUUUUUCUUGACAAAAGAAGAUUUUUCCUCUGGCUUGCUUCACUUGAAUGCCAAGAAAAUACUUCAUUAAGCCCAAGUCAGUCAUCUCAAAUUCAUCUAGCAUGCUUUUUUUAAACUCUUCCACCAUUUUCAGAUUAGUGCCACAAUAAAUUAGAUCAUCAACAUAAAGGCAAACAAUAAGGAAAUCAGUACCUUCCUUUUUGACAUAAAGAGAAGGUUCACUUGAGCUUCUGUCAAAUCCAUUUUUAACGAAAUAUCUAUCAAUUCUGCUAUUCCACGCUCGAGGGGCUUGCUUCAAGCCAUACAAGGCUUUUCGGAGUUGAUAAACUUUGUUUUCUUCACCUUUCACUUCAUAUCCUUUAGGUUGCUCAACAUAAACCUCUUCUUCAAUUUCACCAUUUAGAAAUGCCGAUUUUACAUCUAGUUGAAACACAUGUAAUUCCAUUUGGGCUGCCAAGGCAAGAACAGUUCGAAUAGUCUCCAUUCGAGCUACGGGAGCAAACGUUUCUGUAAAAUCAACUCCAGGCAGCUGAGAGUAUCCUUUGGCAACGAGCCGCGCCUUAUAUUUUUUAACUGAACCAUCUUCAUUGUACUUGAUUUUGAAGAUCCAUUUCAGCCCAAUUGUUUCUUUUCCAUUUGGCAAAUUAACCAUCUCCCAAGUUUUAUUUUUCACAAUGGUGGCCAUUUCCUCGUUCAUUGCUUGGAUCCAAUUUUCAUUUCUUGAGGCCUCCUCAAAGUCUUGAGGCUCACAAGAAAAUAAAGCAAGUUCACAUGACUCAUAAAUUUCUCUCAUUGACUUUAUCUUCCUUGGAGGGCUUUCAUCAUCCGAAGAACUUUCUGCUGCUGAAUUUGGAGAAUUUGGUUCCAAAUUAUUUUGCUGUGAAGAAUUUGGUGGAGAUACAGGAGCUUCGAAAAAGCUAGAUGCUUGAGAUUGAUCUUUUUCCCACUGCCAAGCUGAUGCCUCAUCAAAUACAACAUCUCUUGAGAUAACAAGCUUAUUUGUUGUAGGAUUCAACAACCGAUACCCUUUAGACUCAUCACUAUAGCCAAUAAACAAAUAUUUUUCACCUUUUUCAUCAAACUUCUCUCUGUUUUGAGCUAGAAUAAGAGCAUAAGCAAUACUCCCAAAAAUCUUCAAGUGAUCAACAGUUGGCUUUCGGUUGUGCCAAGCUUCAAAUGGAGUUUUGUCUCUAACAGCUUUUGUAGGAGACCUGUUGAGGAUGUACACAGCUGUAUGACAUGCUUCUGCCCAUAAGUUGUUAGGAAUGCCUUUGCCUUUUAACAUGCUUCUUGCCAUCUCUACAAUGGUACGGUUCUUCCGUUCUGCAACUCCGUUUUGUUGUGGACUUCGGCUGACAGUAAGUUGUCUUUGAAUUCCAUUAUCCCUGCAAUAAUUCAUGAAUGGAGUGUAGAUAAAUUCACCACCACGAUCAGUUCUCAAGGUCUUCAUUUUGCAUCCACUUUGCCUUUCUGCAAGAGCUUUAAACUGAAGAAAAGUUGAGAAAGCUUCUGAUUUUUCAUUCAAAAAAUAAAUCCACAUCAUCCUUGUAUAGUCAUCAACAAAAAGAAUGAAAUAUCUCCUGUUAUUGAGAGAGAGAGUCCUUGUAGGACCACAAAUAUCAGCAUGCACCAACUCCAACGGAGCUUUGGCUCUCCAUGAAUUUUUAGGAAAUGGAAGUCUAUGCAUUUUUCCAUAUAUACAGCCCUCGCAAACUUUUUCAUAUCUUCCAACAUCAGGUAAGCCAAUCACCAUGUUCUUUUGCUUGAGCAAAUUCAGCCCUUUAUAGUUUAAAUGACCAUAUCUGAGAUGCCAUAAAUUUGACAAAUCUGAAUUUUCAGUUUUGAGAGCAACAUUCUCAUCAAGUGGCAUAACAAGAGGAAAAACUUUGUUCUUUGACAUUUCAACAACGGCCACUGUAUGAUUAUUAGUUUUAUCAAUGAUUUUGCAUUUUUCAUCAUCAAAAUAAAUUGAAAAACCCUUUUGAAUUAGCUGCCCCACACUCAAGAGGUUUUGAGUUAAAUUUGGAACAUAAAGAACGUCAUAAAUGAGCUUUUUGUUACCUCCCUUUGUAUGGACAGCAAUAGUGCCUUUUCCCACAGCUUUCUGCAUCUUUCCAUCUCCAAGCUUCACUUGCGAAUUAAAACUUUGGUCAAGGUUGAUGAAAAUGUCACGUUCUCCAGUCAUGUGGUUGCUACAACCGCUAUCCAAGUACCACAAAUUAUAUGAUUCACGUUCAGCACCUUUACUUGAAUAAAACAAGUAAUCUCCAUCACAUUCUUUUGUAAAAUUUGCCUCAUUUUUGCCUUUCUUAUUUUGAUACCAGCAAUCCCUUUGAGAAUGGUUAGGAAUGCGACACCUUGUGCAUUUAUAACGACAAUCUUUUGAUUCAUGAUUAGACCGAUUACAAAUGAUGCACUGAGAAUCUGAAUUUUGCUGUGAAUUCCCUCUGUCAUUUUUCCACUUGUUGCGGUUGUCGUUCUGUUCUCUUUGCCCUAUGCCACGCUGCUCGUUUCUUUGAGACGAGCCUCCGUUCUUCUGGUCUUUCUUGCUGCUUUUAUUCUGAUCUGAAUUAUUAAUCUUUGACUGAAAAGCUUGCUCUGUAGGCUGACUUGAAGGUCGAUUGAUUCUUUGCUCAUGAGACCGUAAUGAUCCUGACAAAUCUGAAAAAGUCAUCUUGGACAAAUCCUUUGAUUCUUCAAUGGCUGCUGCUACAUGAUCAAACUUUGGAGGAAGACAUCUCAGCACCUUUUCAUUCACCUUCUUGUCUUCAAUGGAGUCCCCACAACCUUUAAUCUGGUUCACAAUCUCAGUAACUCUACUGCAAAAAUCCUGAAUUCCUUCUCUGUCUUUCAUUGAUAAAUUAUCGAACUCUUUCCACAAAGUCUGUAACUUGAUGGUGACUGCCUUUUCAGAACCUUGAAAUUCUUGUUUUAGGAUUUUCCAAGCAUUUUUGGCCUUUUUGACACCAAAUAUUCUGGGGAAAAUUGACUUACUAACACCUUGCUGGAUAUAUCGAAGUGUCGUGGCAUUUCUCUGUAUGUUUUCUUUGUACUGCUGUUGAUGUGCUGGAGUCCAAUCUGAAGAACUUGCAGAUUCUGGUGGUUCAGCAUAUCCAUCUUCAACAACAUCCCAUAAAUUUUGAGAGAGGAAAAAGGUUUCCAUUUGAUUACUCCAAUAUUCAUAAUGUACCCCUUCAAAUAUUGGAACUUGACUGGGAGCAUAUGAGAAUAAUGUGGGUAGGGUAUUUGAUGUCAUUUUGAGGGUGUUUUGGAAAAGCUCUGAUACCAAAUUUGUUGGGUGCAAGCGGAAGUGCAGAAAAAUUUUUAUUUAAGAACAGAGUAUUUUGCUGGAAAUUUCUGAAACUUUAUUGCUUAAUUCAUUUUUUCGUUUCUCUCUUACUUUUCAUACAACCAGAGUUCUAUAUUUAUAUGCAUUAUAGACAACUCUAGAGAUUACAUUAAUCAUGCUUUACAUUUCCAAAGCCACAUUGCAAACAUCAAUUCUACCCUUUACUUUACGUUGAAAAACAAACCAAAUAACCCUUCAAACUUCUUGCUCAAUUUACUAGAUUACUAAUUAUAUCUCAACAUAUUAUUCCGUUUCUUCUAAGCUACGCAUACUUGCACAUCAGAAUAAAGUGAUAUACAAUGGUUGUGUGCAGACACAAACGCAUGAUCAACAGGAAAAAUCAUCUGAACAUUUGUAUUACUGAUUUGGCAUAUAAGAUUCUCAUAAUAGUUCAAAAUACAAAUAAAUGAAUAUAUAUAUAUUCCCCACCGGAAUCACCCCCUGGAUCCUCACUCAAGGUGUCUUCCGAGCCAGAAGAUCCCUCCUCACCACUAUUUCCGCUCGUGGAGGUUGUUUGGGGGGACAUCCUCCUAGCGCUAGUCCCAACACUAGACCUAAUGGGUUCUAAGGGGAUCCCGGGGUCAAAAGCAGGAUCGGUGAGCAGACUAGACAAGAAACCUAAUUCGUCGUCAUCAAUCUCAACGAUUUUCUCUUUACCCUUCGACAUUCCCUAAACUAUAAUCAGAACACCACCACCAACUACAACCCCAAGCAAAGCACAGAGAAAAGAAAUUAUCUACAACUAACCAAGACCGAGAAAAUAGAAGAAAUACCUGAAGCAGGGAUUCGAUCAGAGAGAGAUAGGGAUGAAAGCUUUAAUGCCGAGGUUCAUUCGCCGGAGAGACAAGAAGGGAGAAAAUGACGAGUUCGUGUUUGAGGAUUUUGGGUUUUCUUACUGAGAAGCAAACUCUUGGGCUGCCAGCAUUUAAUGACACAUAUUCCGAGAAUCUUGCAACCGUAGGUUUGAAAUUCAAAUGGAGGGGUGGAUUUCUGCCACAUCACUUCAUCUGCAAUUAAAUGCGACACGACUCUUGGCAGUCUUUUCCAGUCCCACGCGAGCAAGAACCGAUUGAGUUUCUACUGCUGGUCCAUUACAUUACCCAACACCAGAAACUGGGGGACUGGUGUUUGAGGGAAAUACUUCGACGAGACCAGACGUGAUGAGCAGAUAUUUGAUGGCAGAGUUCUGCAAACAGGUGUGUCUUGUAAGAGCCAGGUAGCAGGGGAACAGGAGUAGGAAUAUUCUGCUCGUCCACGAAUAUGCCAUUCACGAGGUCAAACUCCUGUUAGAGGCAUAAGGCCAUUCCUGCUAGAGGUCGAGAAGCGAGGAGACCCGGUCAACGACAGUUGGCAAGACGUGCAUUCCUAUCCGAGAAUCAAGGCACAAAGUCCAUCUCCAUUCGCCCACAAUGGCGAUAAUGGGGCAUCCAUAUCCCGGGGGGGGGAGAAUAAGGGGCGUGGACUACGGAAGAUCGGGAUUCAGAGGAAGCUUAUAAAAAGGUAGCCAACGAAGGUAAAAGGGUUAGAAUUUUUGAGAUUGCAACUAAGAAAAGAGAGCUCUAAGAACUGAAACUAAAGAGAAGCCAUAAGAUUCGUGGCAAACAUUCCCAGAACCUUCAUAUCUGACUUGAGCGUCGGAGGAUUUACGCCGGGAAAACGACCGGCGCACCCUGACCUGCUUUUGUGUUCGCAUGAAUUUUUGGGGAAGAAACCUUACGAGGAGAGAUCCUGGUCAUGGUAGAGUUGGUCGAGCAGAGGUCCUGGUCUUGGUAGAGAAGGCAACCAGAAUCUCGCAUCAACAAUUAUUUUACUUGAAAUUAUGUACAAUUGCAUUUCAUUCAUUUCUCUCUCUCUUUUUCUUUUUUCCCCCCAUAUAUUUUUUAUGUAUAAUUGCGUUUCAUUUAAUAUUGAUCAUACUGUAGGUAACCAUGUGAUUGUAGAUGGGGAUUUCAAGUUUGUUGAAUAUUCAUGUAAGUGAAGUAACCGUCACAAUACUAGUGAAAUUGGGAGCUUUAUUCAUGAGUUUGUGGUUUUGAAAAGUACCACAGUUCAGCUGAUGAAGGCUUCUUUUUGGGAUUCUUCUUUUCCUAGGCUGCAAUUAGGAUAUGUACAUGAUAGACAAUCUUUUGUUGGUUUGGCAUAUCUUCGCUGAUUUUGUCUUUUAUUCCCCAAUUUUAUAAUUACACACCAUGAAUGUUGGGUGAUUGCAUAGAAAAUUUGUGUUAUAACAAAAACAUUGUGAAGGAGUUUCUGUGCUAAUAGUUAGUGGCUUCUGUUUUAUUGGCAUUGAUUGGGUAGAUUACGUGUUACAGUGAUUCAAUUUGUGUUCCAAACUUUGCUUUAAUUUUCUGUUUUCCCCAACUAUUUAUGUCAAAUUUAAAUCCAGAAGCAUGUACUGAUUUUUUCUUUUUGUAUUAAUUUGUGAAGUUUAUUUGGAAUGGAAGUAACUGGGUCGGGUCUAAUGGAUUAAAUUAUGACAUUGAGGGGAAGGCACUAAAAGGGUUUGCUUGACACAUUUGGUUCUGUGUCUGCAAGAAAUAGCUUUUGCUUAUUGCAAUGCAGGGGGAAAUCCCGAUUUGGCUGGUGAAUUUCUCUGCAACAAACGGGCAAACACCUUGACUUCUUCUGUCCAUACUUCUGCUGGGGAGGCAAGGGGUAAAGAGUCUUCAAAAUCAUCAAAUAGUAACAUCUCUGAGAAUUCAUUUUAUGGAAAUGGAAAAUCUAGAGCUUCUAAUACAAAAUGGUAUCUGGUAUCAGGACGUACCGUUUCAAGUUUUCUUGGUAAAGAUUAUGUUAAACCUGCACAGCCAGCUAAUGGCACUUUUCUGGCAUCAAAGCCAUUGAAGUUGGAUCCAAGGGAGUUUCGCAUUUCUGCACUUUCAGAGAAGAAACUAAACCGAAACAAUCAAAGGAUGACCAUUUGCAGAAGGAUAUGGAAGAUUUUCUGUUUAAAUUGCUAGGAGAAGGGUUCCAGCUGUACAGGGAUGUGAUUCAGAUGGUUCAUGGUAACGUCUUAAAUAUAUUGAUGCCAAUUUAAUACAUAUUGUCCUUUUCAAUGUUCUUUCUUUCUUUCUCCUCUUUUUAUUCUUCUUCUUCUUCUUUUUUCUUUUCAUGUGCAUCUGAUCACUAAUUUGGUAUUAUUCUUAACUUGCAGAUAGUUGUGGAUAUGAUAUGCAAAAAGGUAAGGACUAUAUCUUCUUGAUGGAGGCCUCUGAUUUUUUAAAUCGCAUUUUCCUUUGUGAUUGAUAUAUCAUACCAAAGUCAAGUCUUAAAUACUGCUGUCAUAUGUUAAGGUUCAACUUCCAUUUUGAUUAACGUCGAUUUGCUACUGCUUCCAAAAGUGAGAAUGAGAUACUUUGGUUAAUUUCAGUAGUUGAACCCAAUAGAGUACUUUAUUUAGAUCUUCAUGGUUCAAAGGCCUGAAAAAACUUGCCGGUGUUUGCAAAAUGACAUUCUGUGCUUUUAUUUAGACUUAUUAUUAAAGACAACAUUUUGUUUCAGCCAAAAAUGUUUGUUUCGAUUAAAGACUGAUUUUAUAUUUCUAUUUUGUAACUUGAAAUAAUUGGUCUGCCUGUUUCUGUUGCUUGAUAACAUGAAUUUUUCCUUCUGAAGUUAAUUUGAUCAAUAAAGUAAUUCUUCGGAGAGGAUAUGCCCAUUCUAUAGUCAUUUUCUUAGCUAACAUGUUUUUUCUUCACUCUUCAGAGCAUGUCUAAACUAAUUGAUCGCUCAGCGGAGACUUUGGGUGAGAAGACAAAAUUUCUUGGUAAAUCCUCUGAAAAGGUAUGCAUAAUUCCCGAGUAUUAAAUAAUCAUUGGUCAUAAUUUUUGUACACGACUCUUUUUUUGGAGAUCGUUAAAAGUGGUUGAUGAUCUAUUUUGUAAUAUCAUAGAGGGAUCAUGAAUUCCUUUUCUUUUCUGUGGCUAGGCAACACUUUCGAGCCAAGCUAAGGAAAUCUAUUUUAGGUAAUGUGAAAACCAGUUGUAGGAUGUAAUAGUUUAUUAUGCCCUGCCAAUAACUUUUUGUAUAAUUGUCAGUUUAAUGAAUACAAGAGGAACUCUGUUGGCAAGUUCAUCCAUGAUAGAUGCUAAAAUUAUUUAUGCAUACCAGUUGCCUUAACUAAUUUUUCUCAACACUGGUAUUGAACAGGAAAAUGAAUAUGCAAUUUGUAUAUUGUGCCAUUGUGGAGAAUUUGGAUAUUCUUAUUUAAGUAACAAGGAGAGUAUUUGCCUCAUCUUUAAACAAUGAAUCUUUGAGAAAUGAGGAGUGGGUGAUUGGCAGUGUCUUCAUGUAAAUGUUCAUUUAUUUGUAUUUUGAACUAUUAUGAGAAUCUUUGUAUGCCAAAUUAGUAAUACAAAUGUUCAGAUGAUUUUUCCUGUUGAUCAUGCGUGUGUAUCUGCACACAACCAUUGUGUACCACUUUAUUCUGAUGCGCAAAUAUCUGUAGUUUAGAAGAAAAGAAAUAAUAAUCAUAUAUUAUUGCUUGGUUCAUGAUUAUUAAACGAUUAUGGCUUUAGAAAAUCCACAAAUCCUUUGUGUUCAUAUAUGAAUGUGCGAAGUUCGCUAUAUCUUAGAUUACCUUCUUCCAAGAUAACAAGUUCAUAUAUUUUUUAAUCCUUUUUCAUCACAGUUGAAUUUCAAGUGUAAGUUUUGUUAUUAAUAGCUGGUUUCCUGUUAUUAUGAUUUCAUAAACAGUAAGAGGAUAUGUGCUCUACUUUUGGAGGGCCUCCACAUGAAAGAAAAUUGCAACAAUUGAAUUCUUCCGGAGGGUAUGGUAUUUAAUUUAUUUUCUCAGCUUGUUGUAAGACUAAUAUAUUUCCUUCAGUACGCACGGCAUGGUGGGAAGGGUUUUUAUUGAAACAGUUAUGAUAUUUCUUAGACUUUGUUUUGGAAGGGGGUGGAGGGAUUUCUCAUCCAUAUAUGGUUACUUGAUUAGCUUUUGACUGUAUUGUCUCCGUCGUGCAAAGGAAAAUCCAAAUACUAACGAAGGGGAAUUGCUUAGGCACCCAAAGGACAGAAAUGAAUUACGGAAGGAAGUUUUUGCUGCUUUAUUUAGUGCUGCUGAGAAAUCUGAUGGAUUUCCUGAAAUUACGGUGAAGACGGAGUGGAGGUCCAACGCAUUAGGAAAGGUGGUGAGUGAACCGCCGGAGGAAUUAGUACCAGAACACAAGGCUAAUGUGGUGCACUGGCAGCAAGAUGACCAGACCUGUAUGUGCUCUUAUAUUAACUAUAUUGGCUGGAUUUGUGAGUGUGUACAUUUUUGUGUGUAUACUCACUUUUGGAUUUAUGCAUAUUAACGUGUGUAGGAUUCUCGAUUUCUGCCACUUACUGGAGAACUAGUGGAAAGCUUUAUACUGAUAUAUGUGCUAUAUAACUAAUGGAAACUACAAUAUGAAUAUUUUCUCUCACCUGGAGAACAGUGUAACUGAUAUAAUUUGUGGCUCUGGAAUACUGAAGAUUCUGCAAUAACUAAUGGAAAAUAUGAUAUGAAUAUUUUUUCUCACCUGGAGAACUUUGUAACAGAUACAUUUUGUGCUGGAAUGUCUAAAGAAUGCUUCAGUUUAGAUCAAAUAUCUUUUAGUUAGAAAAGAUAAAAUUCUCUGAAUCUGAAAGACUGAAACAUUUUGCAUAUUUCGUGAAAGGCAAGUAUCUGUAGAUACUAGCUCAUGCAUUGAGGUAAUAUCAAUGUUAAAGAAAAACAGCAAUAAUUUAUUAUACAGAAUUAGGUUCACUUGCUUUAAAUGCUGGUCUGAUCAACCAUAUCAACCUGUAAUGGUCCUGCAGAAAUAUAUAUACGGGGAGAAACUAGCUAAUUUUCCUUUCACUUAUGGGUUUGGUCUUUUUUUUCCCCUAUUUUUCAGCUUUCCUUCUCCUGAAGUAUGUUAACAAUUGCAGAUAAUGACGAAGAGGACCGCUUCCAGGCUCUUUGUAGAGCUGUGAUGGAAUAUAGGGGCACAAUGAAAGAAUAUUGUAAGGCUGUAUGUACUUUCUCUCAUGUCAUUUAUGUUUUCUCACACAUUUUGUAUAUGCCCUGAACAUGCAGCUUUGUAUGUGUCAAUUGCCUUUUACGUUUUAAAAGCCAUAAAGUAAGAAUACAGUUCCUUGUCAGGCUAUUGAUGCGUUCGCUCAGAAGGGUCAUGUUCAAGCAGGAAAACUUCUAGAACAGGUAAGGUUUCCAUCUACAGCCAUCCAUUGACAGCAGAUAUAUUUUCAUUAAGCAGACACUGUUAGCAUUCAAGAUGCUGGCAGAUUCACUUGAUUCUUAUUAGUUUGUUUAGUGGCAAACCAUAUAACCUGUAUUUCAAAGCCAAGUUGUGCUAUUGAUUAUGUUAACUUUAUUGUUAACAUAAAGUGAUAUGGAGGACAUAAUCAAUGUAGGAAAAUUAGGUGAAGAGAUGAUGUCAAAUCUUGAACCUCUUACAAAGCUCCAAGUUCUUUACUUGAAGAAGCUGCCAAAUUUGAAGAGCGUCUACUGGAAGGCAUUUCCAUUCCCAGAUGUAUGCAGAAUUUUUGUAUUAAUGCCCAGUUCUUAAGAAGCUGCCACUGGAUUUUCAAGGGGCGGGCCAAGGUAAAAUUCUUAUCAAGGGAAAGGAAGAUUGGUGGAAAGAACUUCAAUGGGAGGAUCAAGCAACUCAGAAUGCAUUGCUUCCAUUUUUCAAAUCAACUGACAAGUGAUUGAAGGGGGCAUCAUCAACAUCAUCAACUGGGAUGGAGAGAUUAUGGAGCAGAUCAGCAGGGUUUGUAUAUGAUCUUUGGUGGUUGCUUUCUUUUGUGAUUUUUUUUUUCUCAUUUUUUUCCCUUCCUGUCAUUUUAUCAUUUCUUUGUCUCGUUUUCUAUUGCUGAUGUUAGUGUAUGCUUACUGUUGCUUGACAAAGUUUGCUUGCUUCUUGUUUAUUAAUUUUUUUAUGGUCACAAAAUAUUACUUGUUCUAUUUGAGAGUGAUGUGAAUCAAUUUUCAAUUAUAUAUUUUAUGGUCAAUGUGAAUUCAAUUUCAUUUGUCUCCUGCAAUUAUUUAAAAAAUGCAGAGUCAUAAUAUGGAAAAGUCGACCGGCAAAAACUUUGUGAAAGCUUCGGAGUGAAACAGGGAAUUCACUUACUAACAGGGAAUUCACUUACUACUAAGGACAAUUGGUGGCGAGCUAUUCCAUUCAUUUUAUGUCCAUACAUCUAUUUAAUUAUUAAAGAUAAGUGGUCCAUUUGUAAAUUUCAGAUUGUGUCUCUCUGAAAAUAACAAUAUUUAAAAUGUCUCUUAAAUUAUUAUAAAUUUUAAUUCACUCUCGAUUUAAAAUGGAACAUGCUGAUGAAAUUUUUUUUCUUCUUAAUAAAAUUGAAAUAAAUUGUGUUUGCAGUAGUUUGAAAUAUUUUAAAGAUUAUUAUUUUAUAAGGGAGUAAUAUGAAAUGAAAUUUACUUUUCAUGCGUGAAAUGUUGAAAAAGGACACAGCAAGUGUCCCUGCUUUUAUUUUAUUUCAAAGUGGAGUCAUCUCACAUACUUUAACUCUAUCGUUACAAUUUUUCAGGUUACAUUUUUAUUUAUUUAUUUAUUUUCUUUUUUACACAUGCAUGUGGGUUACUUUUCCGUAAGCUCCUUAAUAUAUAUAUUUAACACAAAUCAUGGAAGAGAUGGGAGUAUAUCAAGAUGAUCAAAGCAUGAAACAAAAAUAUUUAAGAAGUAAAACACUGAAAAUAGAGAAGAGAUGCAAGCAAAAGAUAUUCCAAAGAAAAGCAAUCUAUCUCCUUUCGAAGAAUGUUAUGGAAGAGUUGAACCCAGCGAAGAAUGUUAUGGAAGAGCAAAUUAAUGAUAUUUUUGAUAGAGUCUAUUUGAUUAUGUAGCCUGAAUAGAUGUCUUGUUGAAAGAUAUCUCAGUGCAUUAGUUCAUCCUUGACUGUCAAUGUGUUUUUAAUGGUUUUUCCAAAUUUUUAUUAUUAUAGAUUGAUUGUAAAUUUGAUAUGAAUUUAAUGUUGAAAUGUUUUCUCUUUAGUGGAAUGAAUUUAAAAGUGCAAAAGCUUAUUGCACACAGAGAAAUAAACAUAUAUGCUUUAUAACUUUAGCAAUCGAUUCUUUUACAGCUGGAAACAGAGAUGAUGAUUAUCAUAGGGGUGAAGAAAAGGACAAAAAAUGUUAAUGGUUAACGAAAUUUCUAUGCAAAUUGAUUUUAGCAGGAAAAAAGUGAGCUAAAUGAUCUUAAUGUUCCACAAGAAAAAGCAAGAUCUUAAUGUUCCACAAAAGCGUUAUUUAUUUUUUUUUGGUGAGCCACGUGGAGCUCAAUUAUCAUUGUCUUUACUUUAAAAACGUUAUUUUAUUUUCUUUUAUUACAAAUUAAUGCUAACAAGAAAAAGCAAGAUAUAAUAUUCCACAAAAGCAAAUCGUAAUAUUCCACAGAGGAGUAAGAUCCACAAAAGCAAACAACUAGCUGGAUUCUUUUAUUGAACUACAAAUUAAAACAACAAAUUAAAGUUCAAAUAUUUAAAUAGUAGUGCGUUAGACGAUUAGGCUCUUUUAUUAAAGGGAAGUAUAAAGUAGUCCAGAAUCGAACAUCUCUAUUGUCUAGUCUUUUUUUUUUUUUUUAAUUCUUCUUUUAUUAUUUUUCAGAAUAGGUUUUGGUGAUUACUAUUGGGUUAUUAUUGAGAGUUAUUGUUAUCUUCCGGGGCAGUUUCUGUUAAUCGAAAUCGUUAAUUAAAAUUUUAGAACUCUUAUUGGAAGAAUGUUUUUCCGUUAUUUUUUUAUAUUCUAAUUUCAAUUGUAAGAAGUAGUCAUUUUAGAAUUUGGGUCUUGAAUCGAAUUUCAAUGCAUGAAUUAAUAUUUAAAAAAAAAAUUACUACACGCAGUUUAGGUUACAAACUAUUUUUUGCAAAGUUGAUUAUGAAAUUGGAAAAAUUAAGUAAUUUAUAAUGUUUGCAAAGGAAGAGACUAACAUACUUCCAAUUACACUAUAUCUCUAUUAUCAUAAUGUUAAGAUUAAACUAACUUAAAAUAAAUUUUAUUUGAAAAGUUAUAUCAAACGCAGUCUAAUUUUAUUAACUUGAAGAGAUAAUAGUUAUAGAAAUUAUUGUUCUAACUUAAUUAGUACAAGUGGUAUAAAGGUUAAGUGUGCACUAAAUUUGUUUAAAUUUUUUCCAGAAUAACUAACAGAGGUCAUUACUAGAAUUAUAAUUACUAGUCUAUUAGAUAGAAAAAAUUAUUUAUAUUGUUUUAUAUUUAUUAAAAAAUUUUAAAGUCAAUCUUUUUAAUUAUUAUUUAAAGGAUAUUAUAAUUAAAAAAAAUUUAAUGUCUUUAUUAAAAAUUUAAAAAUUUAAAAAUUUAAAAAUUUACAUGACCGCUCUAUAAAUAUUGAAAGUGUAACUGUCAUUUUCUCAUAUAUAUAUAUAUAUAUAUAUAUAUAUAUAUAUAUAAACCACGGUGGUGAAGCUUUAUUUAAUAUUAAUGAUUUAAAUAACAAUAUCUCAAUUAAAAAUGUAGAGAGAAGAAAUUUCGGUGGGUAUAUUAGUCUUUUACAAUUAUCAUGAUUAACCCUUCCUCUUGUAACGUUGGUCAGAAAAGUUUUAAAAUGCCUUGAUUUCUUUUACUUUUAACGUUAGCGGCCUUCCUUAUAUUUUAUUACAAAUUAGUCCUAACAAGAAAAAGCGAGAUCAUAUUCCAAAAAAGCAAAAGUGACAAAAAAACCAGCUGUAUUCUUUUAUUAAACUACAAUUUAAAAUGAUUUUAAAGUGGAUUCUUUUGAAUACAGGUGGGGUAGUCGAAUAGUCUUUUUCAAAUUCUUGUUUUAUUAUUUUUCAAAACUAGUUUUUGGUAAUUACAAUCGGGUCAUUCAUUAGUCAUUAUUCAGAGUUAUUGUUAUCUUCGGGGGCAGUGGGUAAAAGGCUAAAUGAUAAUUACUAAGUGUUUUUCCUUCAAAAGUUAGUGGCUCGUGUUUUGCAAGUGUGUACGUGCGAUGCUCUUUGUCUAAAGGCAAUUACAGUGGGUCCCGAAUCGGACGUGCCUAAUAAAUCUUUUAAAAAUUUUUCUAAUAAAUAUUCCUAAAAUUUCUCUUCCACAGGCAAUUACAGCAGCUUCAGUUAAUCAAACUCAAUCAAUUUUCUUUCUUAACAAAAUUCCAAAGAUGUGUGGCUGUUUUCAGAUCACAUGCGAUGGUACUUUUUUCAAUCGUUGCUUAGAUUGCUUUCUUGGAAAAGCAGCAUACAUACGUAACCUCCAAGAUAACCUCGUUGCCUUGGAGACUGAACUAAGGAAACUAAUCGCAGCAAAGAACGAUGUGAUGACGGCGGUUGUCAAUGCUGAACGGCAACAAAUGAGAAGGCUGGAACGAGUGCAAGUGUGGGUUUCGAGUGUGGAUUCUGUUAAAACUGGAGCCGAUGAACUUAUCACAGACGGCUCUGAAGAAAUUGGCAAAUUAUGUGUUGGAGGCUACUGUUCCAAGAACUGCAGGUCAAGCUACAAGUUCGGAAAACAAGUGGCUGAAAAGCUACAACAUGUGAAGAAUUUAAUCGCCGAGGGAGUUUUUGAGGCGGUGGCCACUGAGGUGGUGCCCGAGAGAGCUCCGGAACCUGUAGCAGAUAAAAGACCCAUUGAGCCAACAAUAGUAGGCUUGCAAUCACAGCUUGAAGAAGUUUGGAGAUGUCUUGCAGAAGAAUCAGUGGGAAUCAUUGGCCUAUAUGGUAUGGGCGGUGUUGGUAAAACCACACUAUUGACCCAUAUCAACAAUAAAUUUCUUGAGAGUCCCACAAACUUUGAUUGUGUGAUUUGGGUCGUAGUUUCAAAAGACCUGCGACUUGAAAAAAUUCAAGAAGAUAUUGGGAAGAAGAUAGGUCUAUCUGAUGAUUCAUGGAAGAAUAAAAGUUUUGAAGAGAAAGCUGUGGACAUCUUGCGGAGAUUAGGAGAGAAGAGAUUUGUAUUGUUGUUAGAUGAUAUAUGGGACCGGGUUGAUUUAACAAAGGUGGGCGUUCCACUUCCCGGACCACAAAAUACUACCUCAAAAGUCGUAUUCACAACCCGUUCCAUCGAUGUUUGUGGCAGCAUGAGAGCUAGGCCGGUUAAAGUGGCAUGCCUAUCAGAAAAGCAAGCUUGGGAACUGUUCCACGAAAAUGUUGGGGAAGAAACUCUUGAGAGUGAUCAUGAGAUCGUUGAGCUAGCCCAAACAGUGGCCAAAGAGUGUGGUGGUUUGCCACUCGCACUUAUUACUAUUGGUCGAGCUAUGGCCUACAGAAAGAAAGCGGAGCAGUGGAGACGUGCAAUUGAAGAGUUAAGAAGAUCAGUUUCAGAGUUUGCAGGUUUGGGAAAAGAGGUGUAUCCUUUUUUAAAGUUCAGCUAUGAUAGUUUGCAGUAUGAUACGGUUAGAUCUUGUUUCUUGUAUUGUUGUUUAUAUCCUGAAGAUUAUGGCAUUCUUAAAUGGGACUUGAUUGAUUGUUGGUUUGGCGAGGGAUUUUUUGGGGAAUCUGACAGGUCUGGUGCAGAAAACCGAGGAUAUGGCAUUUUGGACACUCUUGUUCGUGCAUGUUUAUUAGAAGAGGUGGAAGAUGAUAAAGUAAAAAUGCAUGACGUUAUUCGUGAUAUGGCUAUAUGGAUAGCUUGUGAAAUUGAGAAGGAGAAGAGAAACUUUUUGGUUUGUGCAGGUGCUGGAUUAAAAGAGGCACCGGAUGUUAAAGGAUGGGAAAAUGUGAGAAGAUUGUCAUUGAUGCAAAACCAAAUUAAAACUCUGUCAGAGGUUCCUACAUGCCCUCAUCUCCAUACUCUAUUUCUUGACUUUAAUAAGGAGUUGGAGACGAUCGCGGAUGGCUUCUUCCAAUUUAUGCCUUCUCUCAAAGUUUUGAAGAUGUCAAACUGUGGGCAUGUCAAAGUUUUGAAAUUACCUAUUGGGAUGUCAGAGUUGGGUUCAUCACUAGAACUUCUUGAUAUUUCAAAUACCAACAUAACAGAGUUACCAGAAGAGUUGAAGUUGUUGGUAAAUCUGAAAUGUUUGAAUUUGAGGUGGACAAUUUGUUUAAAUAAAAUUCCAUGGCAACUAAUAUCAAAAUUUCAAGGUUACGUGUGUUGAGAAUGUUCGCUACUGGCUUUGCACGUUUUGAUGCAGCAUCAGAAGACAGCGUUUUAUUUGGUGGGGGUGAAGUUUUAGUACAGGAAUUGGUCGGUCUGAAAUAUUUAGAGGUAUUGGAGUUGACCUUGGGAUGUCAUCAUGCUCUCCAAAUUUUUUUGAGCUCAAAUAAGUUAAAAAGUUGUAUUCGAUCUCUUCUCCUCCAAUUGGCCGGAGAUACAAAGUCGAUUAUUGAUGCUACGGCUUUCGCAGAUCUAAACCACCUCAAUGAAUUAUGGAUUGAUAGGGCUAAGGAGUUGGAAGAAUUGAAGAUUGAUUGUAAAGAAAUAGUACAAAAAAGGCGGGAACCUUUUGUUUUCCGCAGCCUUCACCGUGUUACUAUACAUAGCUGCCAGAAGUUGAAAGAUUUGACAUUCCUCGUUUUUGCUCCAGACCUCAAGUCUCUCGAUCUAGACCGUUGCGAUGCUAUGGAAGAAAUAAUCAGCGUCGGAAAAUUUGCUGAGACUCCUGAGAUGAUGGGACAUAUAAGCCCUUUCGAAAAUCUCCAAACUCUUCAUUUAAGAGCGUUUAACAUCUUUUCUCGACGACCUGCACGAUUGCCUUUCACUCAUCUGAAGGAAAUGGAGGUAAGUGGGUGCGAUCAGCUUAAAAAGCUUCCACUCGAUUCCAACAGUGCAAAAGAGCGUAAAUUUGUUAUUCGUGGAAAAGAAGACUGGUGGAACCGACUUCAAUGGGAGGAUGAAGCCACUCAAAUUGCUUUUCGUUCCUGUUUCCAACCUGAGCGGUUAGUCGCAAAAUUUGAUUUCUGGUGAUUGCGUUUGUCUUUUAACUCUUAUAUAUAUUCUUGUCGUUUGUUUUCUUCUCUGUUUUUAACUCUUAUAUUGCGUUUGUCUUUUGAAAAUCUCCAAUUAAAUGUUGAAUUAAUGGAAUUAAUGCUUCAUAAAUUUGCCGGCACUGCCAUCACUUUUUUUUUUUUUAAUACAAAUUGAUACUUUAUUUAUAUCUUCUUAGCGAUAUAAUUUCCUGUCAAUUGACGAACGAGAAGAACAUACGACUUAAACCAAUUCACGCAUAAACUUGCUGUAAAAAGAUAUAAUCUCACUGAAAUGCACACGUCUAGAAUGAAUAGAAUUAAAACAGGGAAAAUAUUUAAGUAUAUUAGCCCUCUUUACCGAAAAUGAAAUGACAAUAAAUUUUUUGAAAGUUUUGAUUUUCUAUGGUCAAUUCCACCUUUUGCAAUUUCUUCUGUUCUAACAAAAACCAAUUUCUUUGUUCAAGUAUUUUCGUUUGGGUAUUAAUAAUUCUCCACCGAAAGAGUGAACUCUUGCUCAAGGGAUCUCUAAUCAAUAGCCGGAAGGGCGCCGAGACCUGAUCGGACCUAGGCCCAAGUUUGGUCUUAAAGCCUGGGCUUGAGCCUGGCAAUUAAAUUAAAACAUUAAUUGAUUUCUUGAUUGAAUUGUCGUGUAAUUGAUUUAUGGGGGAUGACACAUCAACAUGCUUGAAAACACACUAAUCUCAGCAUCAUCGGUUAAUAACUUUUAGAAUUAUGGGUAAUCAAUAGUUAAGAUUAGUUGUCAUUAAUACUAAAUAUUUUUUUACUAUUUUCGUCUCUUCUAGAGGAUCUUCUAGAAAAAUGCAUCCACAACAAAAUUUAAUACUUUACAUAAUAAACAAAGCAUAAAUGUUAAAUUUAAGAAACUGCAUUGUAUUUCAGCUGAAGUUGACUUUAAUAUUUAGGGUAGAAAAAUAAUAAAUCCUUAAUGUGUUUAAUUUCUAUCACUUGUGUCAUUAAAAUUUUCUAGUCACCCUAACCAAUUACAUCUCAACCCACUUUUUUUUGGAUGAUUUUAUUUUUACACUAUUAUUUUCAUCAUUUUUUUUCCUUUUAACACCAACAUUAGUGUAUGUUACGUAACAUAAUUCAUAUUUGGAUAAUUUGAAAUUUGUUUGUGUUUUAUCUCAAAAUAGAGCUUCAAUCAAUUUGUACCUCAUAAAUUCACAAUAUCUAUGAGGGCUAAUAAGACCAAACUCUGGCAUAUUGUCAAAUGUGCUUAUCCUUUUGCUUGACAUGUCAUUUUAAAAUUGUCAUUCAAUGCCAAAAAAUCACAUCAACUGAUGGCCGACUACUUUAAUUUGAAAGCAUGCAUGCGAUCGCCAAUAAUUAUAACUUAAUUGUUAUUUUGAAAUUUUUUUCUUUAUAAUUUUUAAGUUUAAUACUACUACAUGUGCAGCACAUAAGUUGGAAAAUAUAACAUAAAAUUUGAAAAAUGUGUAGCUUUCGUUCCUUUUUUUUCUUAAAAAUGAGGAAAAAGAAUGUAAUUUUGUUUAAAUUACUGUUGUGAUAACAAUUAUUAUUUUAUUGAUUAAUUGGCAGAGAAUGGUUAUGGUUUCGCAUGGUUGUUAAAACAUUGGAAAAUCCACUACAUCAUCCGUUAAUAACUUUCAGAUUUAUGGUUAAUCAAUAGUUGAGAUUUGUUAUCAUUAAUGUUAAAUAUUUUUUUAAUAUUUUUUCUCUCUCCUAGAGGAUCAUCACAGCAAAAAUUUAAUAUUAUAAAUAGUAAACAAAAUAUAAACAGUUAAAUCUAAGAAACUGCAUUGCAUUUCAGCUGAAGCUAACUUUAAUAUUUAAUGGAGAAAAAUAAUUAAGUCCUUAAUGUACUUUAUUUACCCAUACUGAUACGCUCUUAAUUCGUGAAACUGAGCAACAUCAAAAUUAUCACUACUUCGAGCGAGUGUUUGCUCCAGAAGAAAGAACUGGAAGUUGAGAAAUGAGAAAGAAGAAAAGAAGAAGAGUCACAGCGAGGAAUAAAAGUGGUCCAUUCAUUUCAUGCCUUCCCAAAAUGACAAAAUCCCGCAAUAUAUAACAGACAAUCGAAAAUAACCAAUUUGACAACGCAACAGAAAAUGACAAAAAAGAAUCCAAAACAAACGUAGCCAAUCACAAUGCUUUUACAGAUCAUCCUAAACGACGUAGUCUCGUAGCCAAUCUAGAAGUUUCUUGUUUCGUUUGGGCCGUUGAUUCUCUUGCACUGGCUCAUGGUGAAUGUCCUCUUUGGGUUGACUGACUGUGGGUUCUCGGUUGAGCUCUUCCACUUGCGCCCCCUCUAAUGGCUCUAAUUUGAUAUAUAAAUUCGUAUCAUUCCCUCCUGCUUGAAAACACACAUUGUCCUCAAGGUGAAAUGCUGGAUAGAGCUUACAAAAGGCGUCAAAGUUUUCCCAAGACGAAUUCUUCGGUGAACUGACGGUCCAUUGAACUAACACUUGAAGCGUUGGCUUCCCCUGUUGCAAAACUAUUCGGGUUGCACAAAUGGCAGCCGGUAGCAAAAGAGGAUGGUUAUCCACACUCAACUCUGGUAAAGGAUGUGAAAUAGCAGGGUCGUUGCCAUGAUAAUGCUUAAGGACAGAGAUGUGAAAAACCGAGUGGAUUUUGGAAGUAUUGGGUAACUCCAAUUUGUAAGCUACAUACCCCACUCUAGCAAGUACCGUAAAUGGCCCGUAGUAUCACUUGGCCAACUUCUGACAGGCGCGAGAAGCUAUAGUGGUCUGUCGAUAUGGCUGUAAUUUAACCAGCACUUUAUCCCCUACUUCAAAGUGAGCUUCACGGCGAUGGGCAUUAGCUUUCUGAGCCAUUCGAUGUUGUGCUUGCCUCAAAUUAGCUUUUAAAGAUUGGAGAAGAGUAUUACGUUCAAGGAGAAUGUCCUCCAAAGUUUGGAUUGAAGUAGAGCCCUUAGCAUAAUGAGGAAUAGUUGGAGGCAAUCGGCCAAAUAAAGCUUGAUAGGGAGACAUCUUCAAGCCACUGUGGAAAUGAGAAUUAUAACUAAAUUCUGCCCAACUCAGUAAGGAAACCCACUUCCGUGGUUUGUCUUGAGUGAAAGCUCGUAAAUAUUGCUCCAAUCCUCAAUUUACCACUUCCGUUUGACCAUCCGUUUGAGGGUGGUAUGCCGUGCUAUGACGAAGAGUUGUGCCACUUAAGAGGAAUAAUUGUUUUCAAAAAUUGCUCAAGAACACUGGGUCUCGAUCGGAGAUAAUUGAACUUGGAAAACCAUGUAUUUUAAUGACCAUGUCCACAAAGAGUUCAGCUGUCUUGAGGGCAGUAAAUUGACAGGGUAACGGACCAAAAUGGGCAAAUUUUGUAAGACGAUUGACAACAACCAAUAUGACCGAGAAACCUUGUGCUAACGAAAGACCUAUAACGAAAUCCAUUGUGACCUCAUCCCAAACCAUAUUAGGUAUCGGCAAUGGUUGAAGAAGACCAGCAGGGGCUUGAGUGGAAUACUUAGUUUGCUGGCAUAUUAAACACUCUCGGAUAAACGUUUCCACAUCAUGACGCAUCUUGGGCCAAUAGAAUGUUGAAGAUAAUCUGAUUAAGGUUCUAGUGACACCCACAUGACCUGCCAGUGGUGUAGAGUGAAAUUCUUGCAAUAGUACGACUUUUAAAGAGGAGGUAGGACUGAUGUAAUAACGCUGACGGUGGAGAAGAAAUCCGUUUUGAACAGAGAAGUCAACUGACAGUUUGCCUUGUAAAAGUUGCUGGUGAAGUGAUAUUAAAUCAGGUAAUGUGGUAUUCUCAUUAAGUAAUGACUGCAGCAAUUCAAAUGAAGGAUGGCUGUUGAAAGAAAGGCAAGUGGGGGAGAUGUUGAUGUUAUCCUCAGGAGCUGUUUCAUGGACACGGGAUAGAGCAUCAGCGGCGCUAUUGGUACAACAUGGUCUGUACUCAAUUCUGAAUUGGAAACCCAAUAAUUUGCGGAGAUAAACUUGCUGAUCUAGUGUUUGUAUCACUUGUUGAAGGAGUUCUUUGAUACUCUUAUGAUCCGUGCGGAUAACAAAGAAUCGGCCCAACAAAUACUGCCGCCACUUAUACACAGCUUCUACAAUUGCAUGCAACUCCUUGAUGUAAGUGGAAGAAGCCCGCAAUUUGGGACCCAACUUCUUGCUGAAAUAAGCAAUUAAAUGCCCAUGUUGUGUAAGUACAGCUCCUAUGCCUACAUUAGAAGCAUCGGUCUCAAUGACGAAUUCGAAAGUAAAAUUCGGCAACUUAAGGACUGGAGCUUGCACCAUUGCUUGUUUAAGAGCUUCAAAGGCCUCCAUGGCUGUCAAAUUCCAUUGAAAGGCAUCAUUUCGCAGCAAAUCAGUGAGUGGGGCUGCCAAGGAAGCAUAACCACGGAUGAAGCGCCUAUAAUAUCCAGUGAGACCAAGAAAACCCCUCAACUGUUUGAUAGAACGUGGAAUUGGCCAAUUAAGCAUGGCAUCAAUCUUUUGGGGGUCGGCUUGUACUCCCGAGGCUGAAACAAUACGGCUUAGAUACUCAAUAGCGGCUUGGCAAAACAAACAUUUGGAUAAUUUAAUAAAAAAUUGAUGAAGAUGUAAACAAGCUAAUACUUUCUCAAGAUGAAGCAAAUGCUCGGCCAUGGAGGAGCUAUAAACCAAGAUAUCAUAAAAAAAAACGAUCACAAAUUUCCGGAGAUGAGCUGCAAAAAUCUGAUUCAUUGUGGCUUGAAAAGUGGAUGGGGCAUUUGUCAACCCAAACGGCAUGACAAGAAACUCAUAAUGGCCCUCAUGUGUUCAAAAUGUCGUUUUGUAUAUGUCGCGGUUGUGGACACGAAUUUGAUGGUAUCCCGCGCGCAAAUCCAAUUUGCUAAAAAUGGUGGCGCCCCCAAGUUCAUCAAACAACUCAUCGAUUGUCGGUAUAGGAAAUUUGUCUUUGAUGGUUACGGCAUUUAAUGCACGAUAGUCAACACAAAACCGAUAGGUGCCAUCUUUUUUCUUGACCAAGAGAACCGGGGAGGAAAAAGGGCUUUAGUUCGGUCGGAUUAUGCCCUACUCUGACAUUUCCCUGAUCAGUUUUUCCAUUUCAGAUUUCUGGAAGUGUGGGUAGCGGUAUGGACGAACAUUGACGGGGGCUGUGUUGGGUAAUAAAUGGAUUUUGUGGUCAAUAGUUCUGUGCGGUGGUAGGCUAGAAGGUUGGAGAAAUAGGUGUUUGUAUUGCUGUAAAAGGUUGAGAAAUUGAGCAGGAAGGGAAAAAGGAAAUUCAAGUGAGGAAGUGUCUGUGAUGGAAAAUGAAGGCAAAGCAUCGAUAGCGGGCACUGGUUGUAAGGCACAAAGGCUGGUCACGGUAUCACUUUGAACCAAUACCUGCAAUUGAUUAUAAGUGAUCAAAUUAUUAGAAGACAAAUCACCAUGAAGCAUCACUGGUUGCUCAUUUAAAGAAAACUCCAUAGGACACUUUGCCCAAUUUCUGUAGCCAUUGAAUGCCAAGGACCACAUAUGUGCCCUCAAUUGGCAAAAUGAAGAGGUCUACCAUAAAAGCCGUGCCUUGCAUUGUUAAGUUCACUUGAGGACAGAACUGUUUACACACCAGGAAGUCACCGUUGCCAAUAUACACUCGGAAAUUGGUAGUUGGAUGAAUGGCUAACCCCAAUCGUUCCGCUAACGCCGGUUUUAUGAAAUUGUGAGUGUUGCCACUAUCAAUCAGCACUUGAAAGGUGUGCGAAUCAAUUUCUCCAAUUAAACGAAGAGAGCGAGGAUUGGCCUGCCCUGCUAGAGCAUUUAAGCUAGAGAUGUCACCAGUAAUACCAGCAUCUACCAAUUCUGAUGGUUCCUCGUUAUUUUUGGGUUCCAAUUCUUCAUCAUCCGUGCCCAUGAGAAGUAGAAAUUUACUGCGACAGAGAUGAUUGUUGCUGUAUUUUUUGUCACAAUUGUAACAUAAACCCUUCUCGCGUUUGUCGCAAAGUUCAGCCGAAGACAAACGGCGAAUUGGUAAUGUUGGUGUCGAUAAUAAUGCAGGUAAAGUGUUUGAUUUAUUGGUAUUGUGGGUUUGUGAGGGAAGAGUUGAAGAUGAUACGGGGGUGAUGGCUGUGGUAACAGUUGCAAGUGAUGAGGAUGGAUAAAUGGGUUUGGGUUGUGUUUGGAAACCAUGUGAAAGGGGAUAUGGUUGCUGCCAUUUAGGCCAUGAGCGUGAGCUCUGUUUCACUUCGUCAUAUUUGGCCUCAAAAGCACGAGCUAAAGUUUCCAUUAGUGAAGACGGUCUAGAGAAAAGCAAUUCCCGUCGAAUGUUGGGUUUCAGACCAGUGAUGAAAAAACUAAUCAAAAGAAGUUCAGAAAUUCCAGUGACCUUGUUCAUUAAAUCUUCAAAAGCUGACUGGAAAUCUGCAACCGUGGUAGUUUGACUCAAUUUGGACAAAUCACCUUGGGGAUCUUCACACAAAGAAGCACCAAAACGAUAGCGCAAGUUAGCUAAAAAUUCUUGCCAAGUAGUGAGCAAGUGAUUGUUCUUUAUCCAUUGAUACCACGCUGCAGCGCGACCCUCCAUAUGAAAAGAGACAAUCCGUAGUCGGAGGAUCUCAGGUGUGUCAUGAAAGUCAAAAAAUUCUUCUAUUCGAAAAAUCCAUCCAUUUGGGUCAGACCCAUCGAAUUUGGGCACAUCCAUUUUCAUGGAACAAAGUACUGGAGAAACUUUAGAACCAGUAAGAACGCCAUCAUAUUUAGAAGAUGAAGGGUGUGAAGGGUUGGAGGAACCAACUGGUUUGUUGGAAGACCCAUGAAUUUAUGUACGUAACUCCUCAAAACGAGAGUCAACUGAUGUCAUGAAUUGUUGGAUUGUUUGAUGGAUGGACAGUUGCUACCCAUCAAGUUUGGCGUCAAAAGUUGCUUGAAGGGUCUGUAAAGCAUAAAGAAUUUCAGAAUUUGCCAUGAUCAAUGAAAGCACCAGUGAUACGCUCUUAAUUCGUGAAACUGAGCAAUAUCAAAAUUAUCACUACUUCGAGCGAGUGUUUGCUCCAGAGGAAAGAACUGGAAGUUGAGAAAUGAAAAAGAAGAAAAGAAGAAGAGUCACAGAGAGGAAGAAAAGUGGUCCAUUCAUUUCUUGCCUUCCCAAAAUGACAAAAUCCCGCAAUAUAUAACAGACAAUAAAAAAUAACCAAUUUGACAACGCAACAGAAAAUGACAAAAAAGAAUCCAAAACAAACGCAGCCAAUCACAAUGCUUUUACAGAUCAUCCUAAACGACGUAGUCUCGUAGCCAGUCUGGAAGUUUCUUGUUUCGUUUGGGCCGUUGAUUCUCUUGCACUGGCUCAUGGUGAAUGUCCUCCUUGGGUUGACUGACUGUGGGUUCUUGGUUGAGCUCUUCCACUUGCGCCCCCUCUGAUGGCUCUAAUUUGAUAUAUAAAUUCGUAUCACAUACAUGCGGUUAAUUUUUUAAGAUAAAGGGGAAGGAUGAUGCUCAAAAAUAUAAAUUAUAGAAUUAAUUGAACUCUCAAAUAAGUUUAAAGUUCAUUAUUUUUAAUUACAUGUUUAUAAUUUAUUUUUAUUUCGUAUUAAUCUAUAGAUCUAAAUCCACUUUGGAUUCAUAUACACAUAUAGACAUAAUGUGUAUGUUAAUCUAUAGGUCUAAAUUCACUUUAGGUCUAUAUAGGUAUUUUGACAAAUGUACUCCAAUCAUGCAUAUUGGCAAGUUCAAAUUCAAUUUGGAAUAUGGUCAUGGUACGUUCUUGUUCUUCCCUCUUUACGAGUGCAUUCCCCCCAACCUCAAGCUCCCUCUCUCGUCUUCAAUGUCACUGCUUAUAUCCUUAUGUUGUUCUAGUUUGAAACAGUGGCUUCCACUAUUUCAGGGCCCCCAAAAAUCCAGAAACAUACUAUUCAUCACGAUGACAAAAUUUUGGGCAGGCAGGUGCUUCCUGACUUUCACACGGUAAUUCUCAAAUUCUGAUUUCACCAUAUUUUAAUUACUGAUUAUGCUCUCCAUUAUAAUAGAAGUCGCCGCCACACUAGUGAUUCCAAACUUUAUCUUUUUUCCUUUUUUAAAUUAAUGCAAGUAGCCGCUGUCCUUUUUAUUAAUUAAUUAAUUCGGCCGCCCACAUUUCUUUUUCUAAUGUCUUCUACUGUCGAGUUUAUUUUAUUUUCCCUUUAUUCUUAAAAUAUACUUAUAAUAAUAAAAUAUAAAAAUAAAAAUAAAAAUUAACAUAUCAAAAUAUAAUUUAACAGAAAAUUAAGAUGAAAAAUAAAAAAAAAUAAAUUCUGAACAUAUCAAUCAAUAAAUGAAAAAUAAUAAUUUUUAUUUUUAUUAAAUAUAUUUUUUUCAGUAUUAAUCAAUUAUCUGAAUAACUAAAAUCAUUUAAAAAUAAAUAAACAAAUUAUUCUUUAUAAAAAAAAAAAACUUUUUAUAACACUCACUAUGCUGGUUGUAGGGUAGACGCUUUGGGGACUGAAGUUGGUAACUUCUACAAGUAGUCUUAAGUUGAUAACUUCUACAAGUAGUCUUAAGUUGACUGGCAAAUGUUCUCAGUAUUAUAUUGGUGUGUCGAUAUUAUCUCUAACUGCCUUAUAGAUAAAAAAAUAAUCUAAAUUUAAAAUUUAACAUAAAAUAAAAUAAUUGGUAGAAAAACAAUUAUGGUUCAUUUACUUAUCAGUAAUCAGAAUAGACUGAAAUCGAAAUGAGUUGUAUUACCGUUGAUGUGUUUAUGUUGUCCUCGAAUCGGAAUGAAUUAUUUUAAGUUACUAAAAUAUCCUUGGUUUGUUAUUCUAAUUAUUAUUAUUUAAUAUUUAUUAUAAUAUUUGUCAUAUCAUUAAAAAGAAAUAAUAAUGAUGAUAAUAUUAUCAUUAUUGUUUGUUACAUUAUUAUUAUUCAAAAAAAUUAUUGUUAAUAACAAUAAUUACUUUAUUUCAAUACUAAUAAUGAUAAAAUUAAUAAUAACAAACAACAAUAAUUAUUUAUUAUGCCAAAAAUAACAAUAAUAAUAAUCAUCAUCAUUUUUUUUCCCAAAGAAGCAUUAUCAUCAUUUCAAAAAAAAUAUCAUCAUUAUCAUCAUCAUUUUUGUAGUGGCUGCCUAUCGGCUGUUGCUUUCAUGUGAGAUUGACUUGCGACGCUUCAACGGCUAUUAUUUCUGGCAAUGUCAGGUGUUACUGUUUCAAUUUAGGAAGAAGCUGUUUCGUUGUGCUAACGAUGGGAGAUGUUGUGGCUGCGAUUCGGGGAGCUACUAGUUUAUUGCACUAAUGACGGCAGGUGCUGCUGCUUGAUGCGAGGUCCAUGGCCAGUUGUCAGCAGUUCGACUUUGGUAUGGGUGCUGCUGGUUCGAUUUUAGGUGUUGUCCAAUUUCAUUUUCAGGAUUUUAAUUUUAUUUUUCUUUUAUAUUUUCAUUAAUUAAUCAGGACAAAGUUGGAUUUUAGAAUUUGGAAUGAAGGUAAUUUUGUUAAUCAUGGAAAUGAGAUUCUGAUUGUCGAGAAUGAGCUUACACAAACAACUACAAAUUAAGUGAAAACAAAACGCUUUUUCUCUUUGUGUGAUUAAAACAUGAUAUGUACCAUAAAUAAAUAGGUAAAAAAUAAAUUAAUACAAUCCAAAACAGUAAACUAAUUACAAGAGGCACAAAUUUUUAUGUGAAAUACCAAAAAUAGAAAAAACCACAGCAUCUUAGUAUGAGAUAAUCUUCUACUAUAUUAAUGAGAUUAUAGCACAAAUUCUUCCUUAUAUAACACUAGAGGUUAACAACAUCAAGAAUUUCAAUAAUCUUGACUUACAAUACAGCCUAAUAUUUGUCUCUCUAAUAAGUAGAUAUCUAAAAUAACAGUCUCUAAUAAAUAAGUAUCUCAAAUAACAGUCUCUAAUAAGUAUCUCAAAUAAUAAUUUCUAAUAAGUAUGUAUCUCAAAUAAUAGUUAACAAGAGGAUAAAACAAAAAUUAAGAUUAGUAGGAUUGUAUAAGGCGAUGCUAUCAACUUAUCUUCUAAAUUUGAGAAAAAUAGUUAAAUUCACUUUUUCGAUUGUGACCAAAGAUGGAAACCUUUGCCCCAAAACCAAAGGAAUCACCAUUUCUCUCUCUCUCUCUCUCUCUCUCUCUCUCUCUCUCUCUCUCUCUAUCUCUCUCUCUCUCUCUCUCUUCUUCUACUUUUCUUAAUGUUAGCCGCCACUCGCUUUUAUUCUUUAUAGCAUUUAAAAAGCUACUUUUAAUGGUAAAUUUCAUUUAAGUCCAAAACUUAGUGAUAAUUGUACACCAAACAAUUCUUUUUGGACUAUGAGCUUUUGGGCCUCCAAAUGAGAUGAAUACAACAAAUCUCCCCCUUUAGAUCAUGUGGGGGGCACCACAAGCCUGCUCUCUGCAUAUAGUUUUUCAACUUCUCCUUGAAUAAUGACUUUGUCAUCAUACAUAACCCAUUCUCUGUUGUGUAAAUUUUCUCAAGCUGUAGCUGUUGCUUCUCAAGCACGUCUCGUAUCUAAUGAUAUCUCACAUCAAUAUGCUUAGAUUUCGAAUGGUUUAUCAAAUUCUUUGAACGGCACUCUGACUGUCGCAGUACAUAACAUAGCUGUCUCGUUUUACACCCAGCUCUUAUAGGAAAUUCAUUAUCCAUAAUAUUUUUUUGCAACCUUCAAUAAUUGUUAUAUCAUUUGCUUUAGUGGUAGAAAACGUAACUUAUUACUAAAGUUUAGAUUGCAAUGAGACUUCUCCCCCUGCAAAAGUGAGCAAACAUCCUAGAAGGAAUUUUUCGGAAUCAACAUCUUCUGCCAUAUCUACACACUUGUAACACAGGUUUGUCACCACUAAAAUAUAAACAUGCUCUGGAAAUGCCUCUAAGAUAUCUGAGAAUUUUUCAUUGUUGUCCAAUGCUCUUUUAUAAUAAAUACAAACAUAAUGAAUUUAUAAAACAUUUAGAGUAUUUUGAAUAUUAUAUAAAAUAAUUUUAAUAUAAUGCAUGAGAUAUAUUUUAUUAAUUUAAAAUGCUAUUUAAUCUAAAGAUUUAUUUAAGAUAAAUUAAUAAUUAAAUUUUUUUAAUUAUUUCAAAUAUUAAAAAUUUGUAAUAUUAUUAGUCUAUUAGAUAGAUUAAAUUAUUUAUUUUAUUUUGUAUUUAUUAAAAAAUUUUAAAGUCAAUAUUUUUAAUUACUAUUCGAAGGAUAUAAUGAUUAAAAAAAUCUUAAUAUUUUUUAUUAAAAAUUUAAAAAUUUACAUGACCAUUUCUAUAAAUAUUUAGGGUAUAUAUGAGCCACGGUGGAGAAGAUUUAUUUAAUAUUAUUGAUUUAAAUAAUAUCUAAUUAAAAAUAUACUGAGAAAAAAUUUCGGUGGGUAUUUUAGUCUUUUCAGCAAUCACAUGAUUAGCCUUUGGGCUUUGGCCUUGAAACGUCGGUCAGAAAAGUUUUAAACUGCUUAAUUGUUUUUCACUUUUAACGUUAGUGGCUGCUUAUAUUUUAGGAAAAUGAGAUUCUCACCACAGUGAGAACCACACUGAGCACAGAACGGUGCGUUUUGUGCUCAGUAUAAAUUCUAACUGUAGCGGAAAUAUCGCAACACAAACGCGCCAUUCCAAACCCACGCGCGUUCUCCCUCACGCCAGCAAAUCUCACCACGCUUCCUCCUCACUGUAAGCGCCCCCCCUCCCCGGGGGCGGUCGGCUGCGUCACGCUCCCUCACGGCGCCUCACUCUCUCGGCUCUCUUAGAAAAUUGAAUUGCGGCUUCCGCCGUGGGGUUCUCUCCUCAACUGCCGUUGUCUCGUCUCUGACAGCUGCCUUAAUCAAAUUCUGAAGGUAGUUUGCUUCAAUUCAUUACAUUAAUUUCAAAUUUGGUUUGUGUGGGAUUAUGAGUUUGUGAAGAUUUAGUUCUGUUUCAUGGUAAACUAUUUUUUGCUCAGUGUGUUGAGAAUAUCAGCACGGUUUAAAAUUCUUUUUAGAUUCUGUCGUAAAGUUUUCUUUGUAUUGGGCAAGUCAGUUACUUUAGUUUUGUGUCUGAAAACAAAAACACUUAGCUUAGUGAGUUUUAAGAGAUUUUGCUAUUUUGUUCAACGAAGCUUAAAAAGGGGAAGCUUUUAUGGCGUCUGUGAGCCGAGGCAAUUUGGAUCGGGUGCUUUUUCAGUUCAUUUGUUUGUUUCUUAUUUGGGUUCUUUAUUGUUAGAUGUUCUUUUGAGAUUCUGGCAUCUGGCAUCUGGCUACUUGCUUUUGUGGAGUUUUUUUAUUAUUUGAAUUCUGUGAAUUCUUUGUUUUCUUUCCCAAAUGAUUCCACUCUAUAAAAUAUAUAUUGUGCUUGGCUAGAAUUUUCUUUUAGAUAAUUGCAUCCUGUACAUUGGCUUAACCUGUCAAGAAUGAGAAUGAUGGAAGAUGCCUAUCUUGGAAAGAAUAUAUUGAGUUACAUAGUACCGGUUCCAAAUGAAUAAAUUGGAACUUGCCUAAAACAGGCACCAAUCCACCAUGACACCAAGCCUUUUUAAAAUUUUUUUUUUUUUAAGUUUAAAGAAACUUAUGUUGCUUCUUUAGAUCUGUUUUAGCUUAUGAUGAAUUUUGCUAAUGGUAAAAUCCCUCCCCUUCAAAGUUGGGGGAGGGGAAGCAUCUAUAUGCAUAUGUGUACAUUAUGGAGCUCGAACUACAUGUCGCAGUAAUACAUUAUUCUCUUUGCUUUGCAGGUUUUGAUCAACAUGAGUGAUUGGGAUGUAGGUCUGUGCUUGAGAGGCCGGAGUGAUGACCAGAAUUCUGUCAACCAGACCAAAGACAAUCAACUGAUGAAGUGUUGUUGUUCUCUAUAUUGAUUGUUGGAAAUUAUGUGUUAUUUCCAGAUUUUUAGAAAAUUAUGAUUGCUGGAAAUAAUUAUAUAUGUACAAUCAUUAUGUCCUCCAGCACAAGUGAAUUUCCAAACCCACAACUGAAAGCUUGCGAAAAAUUUGUAGAAAAUUUGUACAUCAAAUCCACAAGCUAAGUGUUGUAUCAGAAUAUGAAUGACAAUAAAACAAAAAUCUGUGUUCUUCAUUCUUAAAAUACUAAUACAAUACAAGUACAUUCUUAUUCUGAGAAAUAACUACCUAUUAACUCCAUAUUCAUUAUCUUGUUGAAAGAGUAGCUGCUGAAAAUGUCCAUGUCGCUGAGCUUGUAUGUGCUAUUAAAAAAAAAUUAAACAUCUUGUUGUCAUCCGAAAAAAUAAAGAAGGCAAGAUGAACAAAUAAAAAACUUAUCACUACUUACGGUGCAAGAAUUUUAUGUAGAUAUUGAAUAAACAUUAUCCUCAAUUAUUUGUCACAAUAAUUUAUAUUCAAUUCAUGGUGUGUUGCAGCAAGCUUCCAUUGUUUAACUAAAUGACAGCUGAAUCUUUACAACUAAUUAUCUUUACAAUCAAAUUUGGAAUUAAUUAAGCAAAUUACCGCUAGAAAUCGACGAGUGAAGCUAAGAGAGUGAGGCUGCAAGUCGAAUUUUUGAGACAGCCGAGAGAGUGAGGCGCUGUGAGAGAUGCAAUGGACGGGCGAGAGAGAGACGAAGCCGAUGGUGAUUGCUGCAUUGGUAGGAUUGAGGGAGAGAGCGAAAGAGCCAGAGCGUGCGUGCUUGUUCUGCCAGAGAGCGCGUAUGUUUUUUCUCAAUGCGCGUGUUGCGUAAUUAUCCAUCUACAGUGACCAUUUUAUAGUUAUCUUGAAACGCACCGUUCGGUGCUAUAUGUGGGGCUGAAUGUUGUGAGCAUAUCGGUGCUGUAUAUUUUAUUAAAAAUUAAUGCUAACAAGAAAAAACCCCUCAAUGAAUGAGGGUGAGAUUGCUAAAAAUUACGACAGGUGAUAUUUUAUUAUUAUUAUUAUUAUUGGGGGAGAAAUCCUCACCAAAGUGAGGAGAUUUUAUCAAAAUCAAAAUAAAAAUAUAACAAGAACUGAAAGUUGGGCAGCCUAAAAGCUAGAUAAACUAAAAUUCAGGCGCCUAAAAACAACCUUAUGCAAAAGAGAAGCAACAUGAGACCGAUCAAGUAAAAGAAUCCACCGCAACACCUAAAUUGGCCAAAUUAUCUGUUGGUAUUACAAGUUUCUUGUUAUAAAAGUGUAGAAUGAAGAAGGUGACGUAGUUUUAAGUUACAGCUGCAUGCCCGAUCGCAAUAUCAAAUAAUGAUUAAAUAUCAAAUAAUACUUAAAAUAGUUGCCUAGACCCGCCACAAUUUAUAUUAACUCUUAAAUUUAUAAAUAAUUAAAUUUUUAAAAGUUCGGAUUUAUAUUAAAAAAUCUUCAUAUAAAUAAAUAAUAUAUGCACUUUUACAACACAGUCUUUAAAUUUAAAUUUUUCUAGAAAAAUCUUCUGUAUAUCUUUUCUAUUAAAAAAUUUCCAUAUAAAUAAAUAAUAUACCUAAUUUAAUUGGACCCAGCGCAACGCAUAUGCAUAGAACACAUUCCGAAAAGCCAUGAUAUUCGGAAAUUGACGAAUGAAAAGUGAGGAGGCAGCAGUCAAUGCUAUUUCGGCUUGGCCCAAAAUUGAUUUAUCAGUUUGACGUGUGCCAGGAAUGAAGAACUGGAAUAUCACCAUCAAGCAAGCAACCUGCGGAGCAAUACCAUAGAAUGCACAAUCCGGCUUUGCAAGGUGACACUGGAGGCUUUUUGAAAAGUGCUUCACGCUCACUUGACAGAUUGAGCAUCCCCUCUGGAUAUUGCCCUCUCUGAUCGAAUCUGAGCACUCAAAUUUCGGUCCUCAGAUGGAGCUACAGCUUUCUCUCCAAUAACCAACAAUUUUCUAAACUCAGCACCUAGUGUGAUCAGAGUUGUUGAUAUUUGUAAAUGGAGAUCCCCGUAUUUGCAAAUGGAGACAUUUACCAAAUCACCAACAUGCUUCAUCCAGUCUACGAAAUUCUGCAGCUGAUUCAAAUCCGGAACCUGAACAAGAGUCGGAGGUAAAUCUUGAGCCAUAUCUAAAGCAGUCUGAAGUUCAAGUACUUGAGCCCUUGACAAUGGUUUUGAAAUUGGAACAUCUUGGAUUACUGCAGACUUGUGCCCCUUGGUUUCAAAGGUAAGGAAAGGCAUUGCUUGAGUACAAUUUGGAGGCAGCUUCUUCACCAAUUUUAUUUGGAGGCGAUUGGCAGCGGAUCCAGCUGCACCAAUUUCAGAGCAAAUACUGACACUACUUCGAACAGCACACUGAAGAAGUGAUAUGUCUACGGCAAAGGCAAUGCAGUCCUCAUUUUGGCUUGAGAUGCAGUAAUCAUCGAAGAGAGUUUCCUUGUGAAACUGGGCAACACAUUGAAUCCCUUCGCCACUGAGAAGGUUGCGGAGGAAGUAAGCUUUCUCUCUAGUGAGGAAGAGGUGGCAUACCUUCCCCAUGUCUAGGGCAGGUAGGAAUCUUUUUUCUAAGAGAUUUACUUCAUUCUCUGUGAGAAAUGCUUUGAACUUCAUCCCUCUGUCUCUAUCCUCACUUAUCAGUAAAAUAGUUGAAAGUGCUACAAGGAGAGAAAAGAAGAGUAUUAAGAUAUAUAUAGACAAGAAAAACAUUAGAUGUCGAUCUUACAAGCUAAUACUUCAAACAGUAUCCUAGAAAGCUAAAAACUGCAAAAUGGCUUGACAUUUGAAAAGAACACAUGCUUUUCCUCCUUAACUUGAGAAAAUGUUUAAUAUAGUGCACCUUACAGAAACAUUUAAGCAAUUAGAACUUUGCACAAAAAUAUUCAAGAAGACUAAACAAAUCAGAUGCAGUGUAUUUCUCCAAGCACAAAUGGCAUUGCAUUUUUUCCUCAACUGUAAUAUUUAUUGAUGAAAAUCAGUACAGGUCCCUCAUUUGUUAUGGAAAGCUUUCUUGUAGUCUGACUGGUUAAUUCACGGAUCUAUAAUUAUCUUGCAAAGUUACAGGCAUUUCUUUCGAUUUAAAGUCUUUGCAUCACCACCUCAUCACACACCUAGCCAAUAUUCCGUCUACUUCUACAACAAAAAGUUUUAAGUAAACGAUCCUAAUGCAUGCAGCCAAAUAAAAUGCAGUAAGAAUAUUCAACUUAAAACUCUGAAAGCCAUCUUGGUGAAUUGCCUCCUUAGGGGAAGUUCCAUGAUUUACUAUACUUGACAGGACUGAGCAAAAGCUUACAUACAACAGAUUUUGAAAAUGAUGAUGCCAAUAGAUACUCAUACAAUCCAUUGAAACUCCUAAGGUCCAUUGUUCACAGAGGUUUACAGAGUUUUGGUUAUCAAAUAGCUCAGACCUUAAUCCCAAACAAAAAACGAGUGAAAAUUAGAUCACCAGCAGCAAAUUGUAAAUUCUAACUUAACUCUUCAUCUCCUUUGUAAACAGGAGACAAAAUGGAGACACGCAAAAUGAAUAAGGAGAACAUUUGAACUCAAAUGAAAUGAGGGCACGAAAGCAAACAAAUGGCAUGCGCAAACAAACCAAGCCUCAAUCAAAAACUAAUUAACCAUUAAAAAACAAAACUGGUCAGCUUCUGGUGUUCUCAAAUUGUAUAACAAGAGAUCGACACAUCGAAUCAGAAGAACUCAAUUCAAAUUUGUCUCAAAAAUCAAAAUUAGAAGAUUUCACAUUUCGAGAGGAACAAGCGACAGGUCAGAUGCAAAAUUUUCAGCCAUAACAUGCCACAAUUAACGGUUUAUUUCCAUGGAUUUAGAGAGCUGACUGACCUUUUGGCUUUUGGAAUUGAGAAGAUCGCGCGCCAAAAUGGAAGAGGGAAAGCGAAAGUGCGGGUUUUAAUAGGGUAUUGGAUUAGCAAAUUUUAUUAGUUUGCGAGGGUAAAAUAGGAAAGUGAUAUCACUAUUAACCUUUUUUUUAAUAAGAAAAAAGAAUAAUAAAGAAUAUUUUAUUGUCAUUUGCAGCAUUUAUUUUUUUUAAAUGCUAUUAGAAAAAUACGACAACAAAGAAAUGCUCUUUUUUUUUUUUUUUUUUUUCUCGAAGGUAAAAUCAAUUAUUUAGCUCCUUAUAUGUAAUCAAACUACAUUUCUUACUUUAAGUCAUAUCCAACGGACCAACAAAGUAAUUAUUUUUUUUUUCAUUCAUUUUUGCAGAAAAUUAAUAACUUAAAAAUAUUGAAAGCUAUUGUAAAAUUUUUUAUUAUCAACCUCAUAGUUUUAUUUUUUGGGAAGAAUUGAAUUUUUUUUUUUAAUUUCCAAGAAUUUCAUUCUCUAGUUUUUCCAUUAAUAUUACUUAUCUUGAUACCCAUCUUAAUUAAAAUCUGUAGUUUUAUUCAAGAGUCAUGCUAUUCAUUCACUCACAGACCAAAGGCUUUCCGCAGCAAUAUUAUUAUUUAAAUUACAACAAAGGGGAAAUCAAAUACGUCAUACAGAAGCUUAAAGCUGAAUCUACAAAAUCUAGAGCUCUCAACUACAUAAAUUACACUUGAUGAUCCUCUACAAGAUGAAGCUUGUUCAAUAUCUCAUCCAAAGCUUGUAAAGUAACAUUAUAACGAUCUUGAGAUUGCCUGCCUUCCUCGACGACCUGCACGAUGCGUUUGUACAAAUCAUCAUACCUGUGCACCGGAUUUUUAAUAUCAAUGCCACUGCAGCUGUGAUCAAGAACAUAAGAGCGUUUAACAUCUUUUCUCCAUCAAGAAAGAAUGUAGUGAGAUGGGAUCUCCUGCAUGCCACUCUGGUUUAGAACACAAAGAAUGUGUCUGCAUAAAUAUCCUCUGAAAUUGAACAACCCACAAACACAAAGCACCUCCAAGUCGGAGGCAUUGUACAAAACAUCGAAAAUAGUUAUGUUUUACAAUCUAUUAGACAUAUUUUAUUAAAUUAAUAUAAAUUUUCUAUAAAAUAAGAAUAUAAUAUUAAAAUAAAUUCACAAAAAAUUAAAGAAUUUUGAAUGUAAAAUAAUUUUAAUAGAUUAAUACGUGAGUUUUUUUAUUAAUAUAAAAAUUAUUUAACUUUAAGAUUUUUUAAAAUCUUUACAAUAAGUAUGACUAUAUUAUUUACAUUUAAAAAUAUUUAAAUAUUAUUAACCUACAAUUAUAUUUGCAUUUGUUAGAAUUUUUUAAGUCAAAUAUUUUGCACUUCUAUAUUAUUAGAAUUAUUGCACACAAAGAAAGAAACAUAUACCUUUAGAAAUUGUUUUCUUUUAAAAUAGAGAUGAUGAUUAGUAUAAGGAUGAAAAAAAUGAUAAAGAAUAUUAAUGAUUAACGAAAUCUCUAUACAAAUUGAUUUUAGUAGGAAAAGAGUGAGAUGAAUGAUUUCUUUUACGGUUAGAAACAUAGAUGAUGAUUAUUAUAACGAAGAAAAAAAGAUAAAGAAUAUUAAUUAUUAAUGGAAUCUCUAUGCAAAUUGAUUUUAGUAGGAAAAAAAAUGAGUUAAAUGAUUUAGAGUGCGUUUGGAAUUGAGAUUGGGCAGCCAUAGAUUUUAAGUUACAAUACUGAAGUGUUUGAUAAAUACUAGCUGCUGCAGAUUGAAAGUUAUAUUGAUAUGAUUUUUCACAUGUAUCAUAGAAAAUAUAUUACAUCUUUAAUAAUUUUUUUAAAAUUUAUAUUUGCUAUAUAUUAUUAAUUUUUUUUUAUAGUUAUAACUUUUUUUCCACAGCAGUUGUAGCUUAAAAGUCACAGCAUCUCAAUCUCAAACAAAUCCUUAGACAUUCAUAGUGUGUUUAUUUUUUGGAUUGGUGAAUCAAAAUUAUUGACAACGCUAACUUCAUCUUCAUUGUUCGCAAUCCAACAGCAGCAGCAAUUGUCACCAAUAAUGAUAUCUCCAAUGAUGAUGACAAUUAUUAUUAUUAUUAUUAUUAUUAUUAAUUUAUUAAUUAAUAUAUUAAUGUUAAUAAUAUUAUUAUUAAGAUUAACAAUAAUUAGUAGUAAUACAAUUUUUUGAAUAAAAAUAAUCACAAUAAUUAAAAUACAAAUUAAUAAUUAUGACAAUAGUUAAUUAAUGUCUUUUUAGUAAUUUGUAAUAAUCUAACUCAUUUUGAUUCUGAUUAUUACAGCUUAAGUAAACAAAUUAUUAUGAUUCCUAUUUUCCUUUCCUAUUUUAACUCACUUCGAUUCCAAUCUAUUCCAAUUUCUAUCUAAUAAAUGCACCAUUAGUGCUAAAGUAAUAUUUCAUACAUAGAAAAAUAAAAACUACACCUAAGGUUAAGGGAAAGGACUUCAAAACUCUCUUUUGAUCAUAAUACAUUUUGUCCUAAUUAACUUAAAGAUUUUGAAUCUAAUAUUUUAUAAUAAAUAAAAAUAUAUUCCUAAAAUAAAUAUAAUAUCAAUAUUUAAAAUAUGUUUUAAUAUUUUACAAUCUAUCAUACACAUUUUAUUAUAUUAAAGUAGAUUUUAUAAUAAAUACAAACGUACUAUUAAAAUUAAUAUAUAAAAAAUUUAGAAAAUUUAGAAUAUUAUAUAAAAUAAUUUUAAUAUAAUGCGUGAGAUAUAUUUUAUUAAUUUAAAAUUUUAUUUUACCUAAAAAUAUGAUAAAUUAAUAAUUACAUAUUUAAAGUUAUUUCAAAUAUUAAAAAAAUUUAAUAUUAUUAGUUUUUUAGAUAGAUUAAAUUAUUUUUAUAAGAGAUAGAUUAAAUUAUUUUAAAAUACCUUAAUUGUUUUUACUUUUAACGUUACCGGCCUUUCUUUUAUUUUAUUGUAAAUUAAUGCUAACAAGAAAAAGCUAGAUCAUAUUCCACAAAAGCAAAAGUGACAAACACAAUCAGCUGGAAUCUUUUAUAAAACUACAAAUUAAAAUGGUUUUUUUUUUUUUUUGAUAAAUUACAUAUAAAAGUGGAUUCUUUUGAAUAUAAGUGGGGUAGGCUCUUUUAUUUUUUUUUAAUACUGUAUAACAAGAUUGUAGACUCCUUGAUUAAGCACAAGUAUAAAGUAGUCGAGACGAUACUUUAUGCUAGGUGUCCAUUGAAUAUUAGAUCUUCAUUUCUUUGGCCAUUUAAUUUUUUCGAGAAAUUUUUCUUACGAUCCCGGCUAAGCUUGAAGAAAAGACAACUCAACGGUUUUUUUAAAACAAGUUUCCGUUUUGGUUGGUGAAAUGAAAACGAAAUAAAGCACUUCCAUCCAAAAAUCAUUCUUCUGGAGAAAGGGAUGACAGAUUAAAGAAAAGGGGUGUACUGAAAGGAGAAAAAAGGUUCUUGCAUGAGAGCUGGACACGUUAAAAGAAGUUGAACAAAUGUCUCAAAAAGAAGCUAUUUCGCUUUCAUACUAAAGCCUAUUUGUAAUAGCAUCAGCAAUGCUCCACUAUCCACAUUCUUGUGCGGAUAUCAUUGCAAUCUACUAAUGGUAUAUAAACAUGCAUGUUGUCCCAUGAUGAUUAAGUUAACACACACUUGGAGGUACUUAAAUUAUGCCAUAAAGAGAUAUAGUUAUUACGCAUACAAAUGUUAUUCAAUGGUUAAAAUGUAUGAUAAAGAAAUCGCUUGAAUUUUUUAUUUGCCGUUACGUAAUUUUUUUAUUGAUUCCGAGUUUGAAUCUUAAAAGAAAUAAAGGGUUAGAAAAUUAAUUUGAACUUUGUCCACUCUUUAACUUAAUGAGUAUAAAAACAGAAAAUGCAGGUAAUUUAAUUUUGACAUCUAACAUUUAAGAGAUAGAGCUUGAAAGAGUCCAAUAUUAAAUUAUAAAAUAAUUGAAAUAAAGUUUGCCCCAUAAGAAAAAUUGAACAAAAAAUCUUAAGUAUGAUAUGAUGCUAGAGAAAUUAUUUAUCUCAAAACUUUUAUUAGGUAAUUAAGUCCUAAGAAUAUGUAAUUACACAUGUAACAAAAAUUAGAGAUGAGGGUCUUUUAUUAAACUACAAAUUGUAUAGUCUUUUUAAAAUUGUUAUAAAUUGGUGGCCCCUACAAUCCUCAAUAAUUGUGCCGAUAUUCACAAGUUGGUGGCCCCUACAAUUAUCAACUGUGCAAGUGCUCAUUCACAAUCUUCCAGGUCAUGCUCUUAAUAAUUGUUUUUUUUUUCUGCAUUCCCUUUCAUGCUCUUAAUAAUUGAAGAGCAUACUUUUCAAAUAUGGAGCCGCAGCUAAUGUCGCUAAUUUAAUUUGGGAUUAAAUUAGGGGACCAUUAUGUUGCAGUGUGCACUAAUUUUUGUGUUUAUCUAAACUCCUUAAAUUUAAGACAUAUUACGGCAUAAAUAAGAAUAUAACAAUAACAAAAGAGUUAAAAAGUGUAGAGAAGAUCUUGCAGAAAUAUAAAUAAUAUCUAUUUUAAAAUAAUAUCAAUAUUUAAAAUAAUUUUUAAUAUUUUAUGAUCCAUUAGAUAUAUUUUAUUAUAUUAAAGUAAAUUUUAUAAUAAAUAAAACAUACUAAAUUUAGAGUAUUUUAAGUAUUAUAUAAAAUAAUUUUAAUAAAAUAUGUGAGAUAUUCAUAUUUUAUUAAUUUAAAAUACCAUUUAACCUAAAGAUUUAUUUAUGAUAAAUUAAUAAUUAUAUUUUUGAAAUUACUUCAAAUAUUAAAAAAAUUAAUAUUACUAAUCUAUUAGAUAGAUUAAAUUAUAUAUAUUAUUUUCUAUUUAUUAAAAAAUUUUAAAAUUAUUUUUAAUUACUAUUCAAAAAAUAUAAUGAUAAAAAAAAAUCUUAACAUCUUUAUUAAAAAUUUAAAAAUUUUCAUGAUCAAUUCUCUAAAUAUUUAGGGUAUAUGUGAACCACGGUGGAGAAGCUUUAUUUAAUAUUAUUGAUUUAAAUAAUAUGUGACAAAACAACUAGGUGGACUACAAAUUAAAGUGGAUUCUUUUGAAUACAAGUGGGACAGACGAUUAGGCUCUUUUUAAUUUUUAUUAAAGGCAAGUAAAAAGUAGUCGAAUAGUCUUUUUCAAAUUCUUGUUUUAUUGUUUUUCAAAACUAACAAGAAAAAGCGAGAUCAUAUUCCACCCCAAAAGCAAAAGUGACAAAACAACCAGCUGUAUUCUUUUAUUAAACUACAAAUUAAAAUGGAUUCUUUUGAAUACAAGUAGGACAGACGAUUAGGCUCUUUUUAUUAAACGCAAGUAAAAAGUAGUCGAAUAGUCUUUUUCAAAUUCUUGUUUUAUUAUUUUUCAAAAUUAGUUUUUGGUAAUUACUGUUUUUCCUUCAAAAGUUAGCGGUUCAUGUUUGCAAGUGUGAAUGUGCGAUGCUCUUUUCUUAAAGGCAAUUACAGUGGGGCCCGAAUGCCUAAAUCUUUUUAAAAUUUUUGCCGUAUAACGAACAGAGGUCAUUACUAAAAUUUCUCUUCCACAGCCUACAGCAGCUUCAGUUUAUCAAACUCAAUCAAUUUUCUUUCUUAACAAAAUUCCAAAGAUGUGUAGCAUUUUUCAGAUCGCAUGCGAUGGUGCUCUUUUCAAUCGUUGCUUGGAUUGCUUUCUUGGAAAAGCAGCAUACCUUCGUAACCUCCCAGAUAAUCUUGUAGACUUGGAGACUGAACUGGGAAGACUAAUCGCAGCAAAGAACGAUGUGAUGAUGAGGGUUGUCAAUGCUGAACGGCAACAAAUGAGAAGGCUGGGCCAAGUGGAAUGGUGGGUUUCGAGGGUGGAUGCUGUUAAAACUGGAGCCGAUGAACUUAUCACAGACGGCUCUGAAGAAAUUGGCGAAUUAUGUGUUGGAGGCUACUGUUCCAAGAACUGCAGGUCAAGCUACAAGUUCGGAAAACAAGUGGCUAAAAAGCUACAAGAUGUGAAGGCUUUAAUCGCCGAGGGAGUUUUUGAGGCGGUGGCUACUGAGGUGGUGCCCGAGAGAGCUCCGGAACCUGUAGCAGAUGAAAGACCCAUUGAGCGAACAGUAGUAGGCUUGCAAUCACAACUUGAACAAGUCUGGAGAUGUCUUGUAGAAGAAUCAGUGGGAAUCAUUGGCCUAUAUGGUAUGGGCGGUGUUGGUAAAACCACACUGUUGACCCAUAUCAACAAUAAAUUUCUUGAGAGUCCCACCAACUUUGAUUGUGUGAUUUGGGUCGUAGUUUCAAAAGACCUGCGACUUGAAAAAAUUCAAGACGAUAUUGGGAAGAAGAUAGGUCUGUCUGAUGAUUCAUGGAAGAAUAAAAGUUUUGAGGAGAAAGCUGUAGACAUCCUGCGGAGUUUAGGAGAGAAGAGAUUUGUAUUGUUGUUAGAUGAUUUAUGGGAGCGGGUUGAUUUAACAAAAGUGGGCGUUCCACUUCCCGGACCACAAAAUACUACCUCAAAAGUCGUAUUCGCAACCCGUUUCAUCGAUGUUUGUGGUAGCAUGGAAGCUGACAGGAAGUUCCUAGUGGCGUGCUUAUCAGAAAAGGAUGCUUGGGAACUGUUUCGAGAAAAAGUUGGGGAAGAAACUCUUCAGAGUCAUCAUGAUAUCGUUGAGCUAGCCCAAAUUGUGGCCAAAGAGUGUGGUGGUUUGCCACUCGCACUUAUUACUAUUGGUCGAGCUAUGGCCUGCAAAAGGACAGCCGAGGAGUGGAUACACGCAGUUGAAGUGCUAAGAAGAUCAGCUUUUGAGUUUGCAGGUUUGGGAAAAGAGGUGUAUCCUCUUUUAAAGUUUAGCUAUGAUAGUUUGCAGAAUGAGACGAUUAGAUCUUGUUUCUUAUAUUGUUGUUUAUAUCCCGAAGAUUAUGGAAUUCUUAAAUGGGACUUGAUUGAUUGUUGGAUUGGUGAGGGAUUCUUAGAGGAAUCUGACAGGUUUAGUGCAGAAAACCAAGGUUACUACAUUGUGGGCACUCUUAUUCAUGCGUGUUUACUAGAAGGGAUAGAAGAUGAUAGAGUAAAAAUGCAUGACGUUGUUCGUGAUAUGGCUCUAUGGAUAGCUUGUGAAAUUGAGGAGAGGAGACACUUUUUGGUUUGUGCAGGCGCUGGAUUAGAACAGGCACCGGCUGUUAGAGAAUCGGAAAAUGUGACAAGAUUGUCAUUGAUGCAAAACCAAAUUAAAAUUCUGUCGGAGGUUCCCACAUGCCCUGAUCUCCUCACUUUAUUUCUUGACUUUAAUGAGGAGUUGGAGAUGAUCGCGGAUGGCUUCUUCCAAUUUAUGCCUUCUCUCAAAGUUUUGAAGAUUUCAAACUGCGGGAAUUUUACUUUUCAAUUACCUUUGGGGAUGUCAAAGUUGGGUUCACUAGAACUUUUUGAUAUUUCACGCACCGAAAUACAAGAGUUACCAGAAGAGUUAAAGUUGUUGGUAAAUCUGAAAUGUUUGAAUUUGAGGUGGACAAGCAAGUUAAUUAGAAUUCCACGGCAACUAAUAUCAAAUUCUUCAGGGUUACGUGUGUUGAGAAUGUUCGCUACUGGCUAUGAAUGUUUUCAUGAAGCACCAGAAGACAGCGUUUUAUUUGGUGGGGGUGAAGUUUUAGUACAGGAAUUGCUCGGUUUGAAAUAUUUAGAGGUAUUGGAGUUGACCUUGGGAAGUUAUCAGGCUCUCCAAAUCUUUUUGAGCUCAAAUAAGUUAAAAAGUUGUAUUCGAUCUCUUUUCCUCCAGUUGGCCGGAGAUACAAAGUCGAUUAUUGAUGCUGCGGCUUUCGCAGAUCUAAACCACCUCAAUGAAUUAUAUAUUUAUGAAGGUAUUGAGUUGGAAGAAUUGAAGAUUGAUUAUACAGAGAUAGUACGAAAAAGGCGGGAACCUUUUGUUUUCCGCAGCCUUCACCGUGUUACCAUAUUUAGUUGCGGUAAAUUGAAAGAUGUGACAUUCCUCGUUUUUGCUCCAAACCUCAAGUCUCUUGAGCUAUUGCAAUGCGAUGCUAUGGAAGAAAUAAUCAGCGUCGGAGAAAUUGCUGAGACUCCUGAGAUGAUGGGACACAUAAGCCCUUUUGAAAAUCUCCAAAGUCUUCAUUUAUCGUAUUUACCAAUUUUGAGGAGCAUCUACUGGAAGCCAUUGCCUUUCACUCAUCUCAAAAAAAUGGAGGUACGUAGAUGCGAUCAGCUUAGAAGGCUUCCGCUCGAUUCCAACAGUGCAACAGAGCGUAAUGUUGUUAUUCGUGGAUACACACUCUGGUGGAACCGACUUCAAUGGGAGGAUGAAGCCACUCAAAUUGCUUUUCGUUCCUGUUUCCAACCUCGUUCCUGAGCAGUGGUCGCAAAAUUUGAUUUCUGGUGAGUGCGUUUGUCUUUUAAAAAGAAGAAUUUAAAAGAAAUUUAUUCUUGUCGUUUUCUUCACUGUUUUUAUUUGAUUUCUGGUUAGUUUCUUUCUCUCUCUCUCUCUCUUUGUCUUCUGCAAAUCACAAUUAAAUGUUGAAUUAAUGGAAUUGAUGCUCUGGUUUUUUACUUUUUGUUGUCAAAUUUUGCCCUGUUCUAUCUUCUUAGCGAUUUAAUUUCCUGUCAAAAGACGAGCGAGAAGAACAUAUAUAUGACUUAAACCAAUUGAUACUUUAUUUAUGUGCAUUGUAUGUAAUAAAUAUUAAGUAUACUUUAUUUUUGCCCUGUUCUCUGUUUUUAUUUCAGUCUCUCUCUCUCUUUCCUGUCUUCUGCAAAAUAUAAUCAAUUAUUUUCAAAAUAUCAUUGAUGAUUUUUCUGCUCUAAUGCUAUGUAAAUAGUAUGUUAAGUAAAACAUAAUCAAUUAUUUGUGUUUUAUCUCUAAUUAGAACAUCAAUCAGUUCAGUACCUCACAAAUAAUUCGCAAUAUCUACAAAAUACUAUAAUGGCUACAAAACAAAUCCUGCUUGCAAAUUGUCAAGGAUACCUAUCCGUUCGCUUGACAAGUCAUUUGAAUAAAUAUUGUUCACAUUCCUUACUCUAUCAAUUAUCCAAAGCACCAUCAAUGGUCCUCAACUUUAGUUUGAAUAGUAUACAUGCCAUCACCAUUACCAAGAAUCAAGCAUGGAAGAGUCAUUCUAUAGAGUUAAUCGAAGCAAGGAAUGAUGUAUCAGAAAAUAUUUGGUGGAGAAUUCAGCACAAACAUAUUUUGGAUGAUCAGAAUCAAUAAAACCUGGUGGUUGCGCCAUAUAAACAUCUUCGGAAAGCUGACCUUGAAGAAAGGCGUUAUUGAUAUCCAAUUGACGAAGAGGCCAGCCAUGACUAACAUCAAUACUAAGAACAAGCCGUACUGUGGUGGACUUAACAACUGGACUGAAAGUGUCAUAAUAGUCCACACCAGGCCAUUGAUUGAACCCUUUGGCAACAAGAUGAGCUUUAAACCUGUCAACAGAACCGUUGGAAUGUCUUUUAAUACAAAAAUCCAUUUGCAGCCAACAAUAUUGGAAGGGAUGGGAGGUGGAACAAGCUUCCAUGUCCCGUUACGAACAAGAGCAUCAUACUCUUCUGACAUAGCUGGACGCCAGUGAAGAUUUUUGAUAGCUUGCGUCACAGUUGUAGGUUCACAAUCAGAAGAAGGGCUAAAAUGAGCACGGAGGUUAAGUUUUUGUAACGGCUUGUGAAUCUUAUUUUUAGCUCGGGUAGUCAUAUCAUGAUGACUUGUGGGGCAAUGAUCUAGUGGAGUUUAGGAAGAUGAUUGAACAGGAAGUGAAGAAGUGCUUUGUGUAGAGGUAGAAGUAGGUUGGGAGGAUUGCUGCGGAGAUGUUACCGGUAGAGAAGAAGGAGCAGUACACGGUGGCAACUCCAGAGGGCCCACAAUAGAUGGAGUAGGUGCCGACAAUGGAGUACUAGGAAAUGAAACAGGAAGAAUUGGUGGAACACUUGCGUAAUUAGGAGUGGUAGAUGAGCUUGUAAUGAUUUGUAUGGAAAAACAAACUCUACAAAUUUAACGUGACGUGAAAUAAAAAUUCAACCCGAUUGCAUAUUUAAGAACAUCUCAAAUGAAUUGCUUACUGCUAUCAUCAUCAUUAUUGUCUAUAUAAUAAUGGAUCUUUAUUAUAUAUAUGUUUCCACUAAAAUAUAUUUAAUUAUUCUUUAUUUUUCUAUUGUUGCGUGUAAGAUUUAUUUGAGUUCUAAGUUAUAUCAAUACAAAUGUUAUCUUAUCCAUAAAAAGUUAGAUCCAACAAUUAUGAAAAUUACUAUAGAGUUGCUUUCAAUUAUUUUUUUAAAAUACCAGGAGUAAAUAAUAAUUAGUUCAAAUGGUGGAGACUAAAAUGCGUUCACCUUUAUUUUUUAUCUGUUAUUUACUUUUGUCAUUACAUUAAUGCACAUGCUAUACAUUUGAGACAUUCCAUUAAUUGCCAAUUAUGUAUGUGAGAUAGUAAUUUAAAUUAAAAAAUAAAAGUGAAAGUUAAUCCUAUGCAAUGUGAAUAAAUUUCUUUCCUUUUUCCUUUACUCUUUUUAUUUGACAAUAAAGUUUCCAUCUAUCAUCUAUCAUCUAUGUACACAAAAUUUCUGCAACAAGUACAAAACAUAAAAAUAUAUGAAUAUUAAGGGAAACACGCAGAAGUUCAUCAUUUCAAUGUUCAGUAUUACCAAUUUUGGCAUUAAGCUUGUACGAAUAUAUUCUACUUCGAAAGCAAAAUAUUAGACUCGUGAUUUUAAUUCAUUCAUUAUCUCUCAUUUUAAUCCCAAAAUAUUCAAGAGUAUCCAAGUUACCAUAAGACUUCAGAGGCUCGAGCCUUAGCCAGAGAUGGUUAAUUGAUAGACUAUGUGCCUGGGUCGAGCACUGGAAGCCUGCAAUGCAGACUGAUUGAUUUAUCAGUUUAACGUGUGCCAGGAAUGAAGAACUGGAAUAUCACCGUCAAGCAAGCACCCUGUGGAGCAAUACCAAAGAAUGCACAAUCUGGCUUUGCUAGGUGACCCUGGAGGCUUUUUGAAAAGUGCUUCAUGCUCACUUGCACAGAUUGAGCAUCCCCUCUGGAUAUUGCCCUCUCUGAUCGAGUCUGAGCACUCAAAUUUCGGUCCUCAGAUGGAGCUACAGCUUUCUCUCCAAUAACCAACAAUUUUCUAAACUCAGCACCUAGUGUGAUCAGAGUUGUUGAUAUUUGCAAAUGGAGAUCCCCAUAUUUGCAAAUGGAGACAUUUAACAAAUCACCAACAUGCUUCAUCCGGUCCACGAAAUUCUGCAACUGAUUCAAAUCUGGAACCUGAACCAGAGUCGGAGGUAUAUCUUGAGCCAUAUCUAAAGCAGUUUGAAGUUCAAGACCUUGAGCCCUUGACAAUGGUUUUGAAAUUGGAACAUCUUGGAUUACUGCAGACUUGUACCCCUUGGUUUCAAAGGUAAGGAAAGGCAUUGCUUGAGUACAAUUUGGAGGCAGCUUCUUCACCAAUUUUAUUUGGAGGCAAUUGGCAGCGGAUCCAGCUGCACCAAUUUCAGAGCAACUACUGACACUACUUCGAACAGCACACUGACGAAGUGAUAUGUCUACGGCAAAGGCAAUGCAGUCCUCAUUUUGGCUUGAGAUGCAGUAAUCAUCGAAGAGAGUUUCCUUGUGAAACUGGGCAACACAUUGAAUCCCUUCGCCACUGAGAAGGUUGUGGAGGAAGUAAGCUGUCUCUCUAGUGAGGAAGAGGUGGCAUACCUUCCCCAUUUUGUCUAGGGCAGGUAGGAAUCUUUUUUCUAAGAGAUUUACUUCAUUCUCUGUGAGAAAUGCUUUGAACUUCAUCCCUCUGUCUCUAUCCUCACUUAUCAGGAAAUAAGUUGAAAGCACUAUGAAGAGAGAGAGAGAGAGAGAGAGAAUUAAGAUAUAUAGACAAGAAAAUAAUUAGACGUUGAUCUUACAAACUAAUACUUCAAGCAGUAUCCUAGAAAGCUAAAAACUGCAAGAUGGCUUGAAAUUUGAAAAGAGCACAUGGUUUUCCUCCUUAACUUGAGAAAAUGUUUAAUAUAGUGCACCUUACAGAAGCAUUUAAGCAAUUAGAACUUUGCACAAAAACAUCAAGAAGACUAAACAAAUCAGAUGCAGUGUAUUUGUCCAAGCACAAAUUGCAUUUUGUCCUCAACUUUAAUAUUUAUUGAUGAGAAUCAAUACAGGUCCCUCAUUUGUUAUAGAAAGCUUUCUUGUAGUCUCACCAGUUAAUUCACAGGUCUAUAAUCAUCUUGCAAAGUUAAGGGCAUUUCUUUCGAUCUAAAGUCUUUGCAUCACCACCUCAUCACACGCCAAGCCAAUAUUCCAUUUACCUCUACAACAAAAAGUUUUUAAGUAAAUAAUCCUAAUGCACGCAGCCGAAUAAAAUGCAGUAAGAAUAUUCAACUUAAAAAUCUGAAAGCCAACUUGGUGAAUUGCCUCCUUAGGUGAAGUUCCAUGCUUUACUAUAGUUGACAGAACUCAGCAAAAGCUUCCAUACAACAGAUUUUGAAAAUGAUGAUGCCAAUAGAUACUCAUUCAAUCCAUUGAAACUCCAAAGGUUCAUUGUUCAUAGAAGUUUACAGAGUUUUGGUCAUCAAAUAGCUCAGACCUAAUCCCAAACAAAAAACGAGUGAAAAUUAGAUCACGAGCAGCUAAUUGUAAAUUCUAACUUAACUCUUCAUCUCCUUUGUAAACAAGAAACAAAAUGGAGACACGCAAAAUGAAUAUGGAGAAAAUUUGAACUCAAAUGAAAUGAGGGCACGAAAGCAAACAAAUGGCAUGCACAAAAAAACCAAGCCUCGAUAAAAAACUAAUUAACCAUUAAGAAAAAAAUUGGUCAGAGAAUGAACUCCAAAUUCAGGAGUCAAGCAAGAAGCUUUCAUUAUUUCAGAAGCUCCUGUACAAAUUAAUAAGUUAUGCUCUUUGGAAGCAAACCUAAAUUCCAAGAGAAACAGAACCCAAAAAAUUUGCAAUUAUACGCAAAGGAAGUGAAGCACAGGAUUCUAUCACACAUAGGAAUUGUAUAACAAGAGAUCGAUAUAUCGAAUUAGAAAACUCAAUUCGAAUUUGUGUCAAAAAUCAAAAUUAGAAGAUUUCACAUUUCGAGAGGAACAAGCAACAGAUGAAGUUCAAAAUUUCAGCCAUAACAUGCUAAAAAUGCUACACUUAACGGUUCAUUUUCAUGGAUUUUCUCGGGAAACAAACAGAAAAUUACGGUUUAGAGAGUUGACUGACCUUUUGGCUUUUGAAAUUGACCAGAUCGCGCGCCAAAUUGGAAGAGGGAAAGUGAAAGCGCGAGUUUUAAUAUGGGUAUUAGAUAAGGAAAUUUUAUUAGGUUGCGAGGGUAAAAAAGGAAAGAGAUAUCAUUAUUUUAUUAUCGAUAAUUAUUAAAUUUUUUUCCAAAAAAAAGAACAAGCAAGGAUUUUUUAUUGUCAUCACUAAGUUAAAAAAAAUUGUUUCAAAAUUACUUGAGUCAUAUCCAAUGGACCAACAAAGUAAUCGUUUUUAUUUUUAUUGAUUUUUGCAGGAAAUUAAUAACUUAAAAAUACUGAAAGCUACUGUAAAAAUUUUUAUUAUCAACCUCAUAAUUUUUUUUUUUUGGGGAAGAGAAUUCAAACUUUUUUUUUAUGAAUAUCGCUGUUUCGUUUGAGUUGGAUGUGAAUUCAAAUCCAAAUAUUCUUUGUUUUUCAAUUUUGAACUCAAUUUCUUUUUCUCAAGAAUGUUAUGCAGAAAUAAUUUUUACUAAAUCUUUUUUGAUGAAUUGUUUAAAUUAAACAAUUGGAAUAAGAAUUGUAACGAUUUAUCAUAAGCGUGCUAAUAUGAUAACUUGUUUUACGAAGGAUUAAUUAAUCAAUUAAUAUUAAAUUAUAUAUUAGUCAAUUAGAUAUGUGUUACAUUUAUCAUGUUUUGUAGGUGAUAGUACAUCAUUUCUAAAAGAAUAUAGUACGUUAAAAUAUUAUUUUAAUGAAGAAAAUUUUAUUAUUUUAUUAUUAGGUGACACAAUAAUAAAUGGAUUUCUGUAAGAAUUGAGAUUCUUGAUAUAAUUAUUACAUAAGGAGAAGUUUAGUUGGUUCAAUUUUGACGUGAUAAGAAGACAACACAGCACAGAAAACCCAAAUUGCCACUUCCACUAAUAAAAGAUACCUGUUUGAAAAGUAAUUAUAAACUAUCUUCUUUGUGUUAUUUCUCAAAACUUUUGUGGCACAAAUGUUAUUUCCAUUGACAACAGUACGAAAUACCACCCCUUUCACUUGAGCAGGAGCAAAGCAAAGGUAUGAUGAGCUAUCUCUGUAUAAUUGAAACGCCAUUACUAAACGAUUCUUGAUGAUGGGAGCCACCGUGCCAGCUUUGUCGCUGAUUUGCAUGAUUUAUUAGUUGUCCAGAUGGCGGAUUUUGUACUGUUACCUUCGUUUCAUUCUUCAGAGCCAUGUACUGUUCUAGGAUACCAGAGAAACCAAGGUGGCAUUGAAGUUGCCCUGGUGGUUAGUUUUCCGAUCAUUUUUUUAUUCAAUUAUUUAUGUUUUUAGAAAAAUGUAGGAAAUAUGUAGAAAUGUUGACAGCUAUGAUUUUGAAACUUUUGCCUAAAAUUGUUAUCAUUACUUGUUGUUUCUUAUUUAAAGAGAAAUUCUAGAAACAUGAAAUGAUUAUUCUACGCUUGUUUUAAUAUUGUGCUAUGAAGAUUACGAAGGUUUGAUUAUAUGUCACUAUCAAUUGCCUUAAUCGUUUGUCGUAAAUCAAUUAAGCAUUUUGAUGCGAAUGAUUCCCUAUUAAAAAAUUCAAGUCAGAGCUGAAUUGCAAAGUAGUUAGUCGUGCUUGCAAUUCAAAUUAAGUAUUGUAUUUUCUCCCUGAUUUGGUUGAUUCAACUAUGUGCAUUUGCUUAUGAACGUUGCAGUAUAGAAAUCGAAAUAUCUUGUCUUUUGCUAAGCCCAGAAGCAAAUUCUUUGUAUUCUACUCAUCAGUUUUCUUCAUUCUCUUUGUUGAAAUUUUAUCUAAACAGCGGUUUCUUCGAAUUUAUGCCUUCGCUUACUCUUUUAAAUUUUAUCCAAACAACGGUUUUGAAAUUGUUUUCACUACAAUACCUUAGUCUUUCAGAUGCUCCCGUCACUGAGUUGCCAGAAGAGCUAAAAGCCUUGGUAAAUCUUAAGUGUUUGAACCGGAGUACACAAAUUAUCUCUCUACAUUUCCAAAGCAAUUGAUUUGUUACUUUUCGAUGCUACAUGUUCCGCGAAUAUUCAGUUGUGGUUAUCUUGUUCAGAUACCAGAAAAUAGCGUUAUAUUUAGUGGUAAUGAAUUCUUGGUUUGGGAGUUGCUUAGUUUAAAACGUUUAAAUGUAUUAAGCAUCAUCUUGAAAAGUUUUUCUGCUGUCCAAAAACUUAUGAGCUUCCAAAAGUUUCAAAGCUGUACACAAUGCAUGGAGCUUGUAGACUGUGAUGAUCCAAAGUCAUUUGCCGUGGCAGAGUUGAAGCAUCUUGAAAAACUAGGUUUUUCAAGUUGUGGAAAUUUGGAAGAGUUAAAGUUCUGCUGUGUCGAAGUUGCAAAGGCUCGAGAAUGUUUUCGUUUGAACAGCCCUCACUGAGUUAAGAUGAAGGCUUGUCAUAAAUUGUGGGAAGCGACAGGUUAUUCAAAUAGAAAAAUUUAUGGAGAUGGAUGUUAAUCUUAAGGUUAUUCAAUUAGAAAAAUUUGAAUAAAAUUUAUGGUAAGUGCUUUUCCAUUUAUUGCAUAUUUAUAUCUAAUUUUUAUUUUCCUUUAUUGUUAAAUUUUGGUCUCUAUUUGUUGUUGUAUGGUGGCAUUCUUGUACAAUUAUUAGCUUUUCAUUUCUCUUCUCACAUUAACUGCCCUUCUGAUCAUGUAGGAUUUGCUGAUGCAAAGAGUCAUAAUUUGGGAUACAAAUGUAAGAAUUAGACAGAUGACAUGUUGUUUUGAAGCUCUCAAAGAAGGACUAAUUAUGUCAUUGAAAGCCUCCAAUUUUGUGAUUGGUUUCUUUUUAUUUUAUUUGUUGUUUUCUCUAUUUUCAGAUCACUUAAUUGUUAGUUGUUGUAAUGUAAUGUUUUAGUAUAGCAAAUUAUAUUCGGCCAAGACAGUGAUAGGAGGGCACAUUGUGCAUGCACACUAGUGGAUUUGGCAUGCCAAAUCCAAUUAGGAUGGAUAACACUUUAUAAGCAUUAGGCUUCUCUCAUACCUGAGUAAUAUAGAAUAUGUUUAUAAGUUGUGAAUCACCCUUUACAAGUGUUAGGCUUCUGCUAUACUCAGUGAUGUGAAAUAUAUUUAUAAGCACUAAACUUCUCCCAUACACUUUAUGUUAAUAA